rnacentral:lncRNA from 1 species
GUCUGGUUGGAUGGGCGGACAAGUUUUGCGGGGACGAUGCCGUGAAGGAUGUGAUGCCGGAGACUGAUAAGCUUGCGGAGUUCGCUAAGAUUCUUUUCCAGGCCAAGGCCAAUGCUCCUCCGCCGGCUAAUUAAUUACCAUGUAUUAGCUAACGGGAUCUUUUAAGUGGAGUGUGGAUUGGUUGCAGUGUUCAUCGGCGCAAACUUGGUUUGUUGUGCCUGGUUUUUCUUUUUUCCCCCCUUUUCUACGUGAGUCCAUGAUGAUAUUCCUGGUUAAUAGACGCUAUCCUCAUAGGUUUAUUUACCACGAUUAUAGCUAUUCCUCCUGUCAACAUCCUUUGAGGCAAGGCUUUUAUGAUAAGAUUUUAUAAAUUAUCAUUUUGAUGAAACCUUACUUUUAGGGGUAAAUAAUGAUCCAUCAAUUCAUAAAAAGUUACAUGAUCAAAAUCCAUUCUAGAAAUAUUAACGAAUAUGAUUUGAUAACCCUAAAGGAUAAUUAGUUAAUUGUCAAUUAACUAGUAUCAUAUCAUAAAUAAAUAAAUAAUUUUUUUUUAUAAAAAAAACCCAACUAAAACAUACUUUUGAUAACCUGUUACUAAUUUGUCUUCAGCUUCUAGUAAAUCAAAAGGCAAUCUUUCAACUAGGAAAGAAAUUAGAAAAACAAUAAACCCUAUAGAUAGACAGCACAAAUUCCACCCAAAAAACAUUUUGACUGUAACUUAACUAUAUUAAUUGUACUUAAAUUGUUAGAUAAUCGUAAUCGAUGAUAACAUCACUGUUCUCAUCCUUAUUACAAAACUUUACAUGAGUGUGAUAUAUUUAUGUCCUUAUACAAUUAAUUAGCAUAAAAAUAGAUAAAUCUAUGUCCUUACGGUGAAAUAGUUAAAACAAAAGUCAAUGUCCUAAUAAGACAAGUAGUAGUAUGAUACACUUGUGGUUCAAAUAAUAUAAUUCUUUGGAAGAGGAAAACAUAAGAAAAACUUGGCCCUUUUGAAGAAACUACAAAAAUGAUUAAUCAAUUCAAAAUUAAUGAACCUAUAGCCUCUUAAGAGGCACAAAUGACUCAAAUGAUCUAAAUGAUUUCUUAAGAGACACAUAUUGAACAAAUAACUUUUGAAGAGGUGCAAAUUCAACAAAUAACUCCUACCUCCAUAUUUAAAAAUAAAGAGAUCUCUAUUAGUCAUGUACAUGAAAGAAAAAAGAUGAUAUCAAAAUAAUAUUGUCAUUAACAAUACAUCUUUUUAGAUGAAUCUUGACAUCAUGAGGAAUAAUAAAGAUUACAAAUUUAAAUUGUGCAAGAAUAUUGACAUAAAAAUAAUUUUUCAAAAUGGAAAAAUCUAAUACACAUCAAGCUAAACUUGUUGACGAAACAAGGAGUACUUGGACCAAAUACUAGAAGAGUCAAUCGUGUUGAAUAUAAAUGGAUUUGAAGUUCAACACCUCAUGAAGAUGUGAAAAUUGUUGGAUAUUAAUAAGUUAUAAUACAAAAGUGUAGUUGAGAUAAACACAAAUAUAAUAUAAGAUUUCUUACAAAGGCCUUGUAUUAACUUUUGUAAUAAAUCAGUCAUAUUCCUAACUAACAUUAUUAAUCUUCCAUGGAGGAUUUGAUAUGUAUUUUAUAAUGAUUCGUAGAUAUGUUAAAAUCCUUGAAGGAUUCAAAAUUCAUAAAGUAAAAAAGUAUUUGAAGGAUUUAAAAUGUUUGAAGCAAAUAUAUCCUUGAAGGAUUUGAGAUACUUGAAGCACGUAAUUUGAAACCUUGUAGCAUGUACUCAAUUAAGCUACAAUUAAAUACCUUUAUAUGGAUUAAAACAACACGGGUGCAUAUGGUAUAAUCAUCUUAAUGAAUAUUUAUUAAAAGAAGGAUAUGUAAAUAGUUCUAUUUGUCCAUGCACAUUCAUUAAUAAUUCAACAACCAAAUUUGCAAUUGUUUUAGUAUAUGUAGAUGAUUUGAAUUUUAUUGGAACUCUUGACGAGAUCAUAAAAAUAGUUGACUAUCUAAAAAAUGAAUUUGAAAUAAAAGAUCUUAGAAAUAUAAUAUUUUAUUUUGGCUUAUAGCUCAAACACUUUCCAAAGUCUUGACAUGUUUUUAUUUAAUUUUCUUAUGGUUGUUUUUCACUUGAAGUGAACAUCAACCCUUUUGUCUUUUGUCCUAAAGAAGAUAAUGAUGAAAUGUUUGAUGAAAAAAAAUACCAUAUCUAUGAUGCAUGUAUUGACAUAUAUGGCAAAUUGUACAUGACCAGAAAUAAUGUUUUCCAUCAAUUUGUUAGCAAGGUAUAAUUGACACUAACUUGAAGACAUUAGAAUUAGAUCAAACAUAUAUUAUGCUGUCUUUGUGGAGUUAUUGAUAUAGAUUUAUUUUCUCAAAAGAAGCACAAUUAUAGCUAUGUGGAUAUGCAUGAUAAUGCUUUUUUUUUUAAAUCCCUAUAAGAUUAGAUCUCAGAUAGGAUAUUUGCUUAUAUAUGGGACUACUAUAAUAUAAUGGUGGUCAAUAAAUCCGACAAUGGUAGUUAUUUCUUCAAAUCCUUAAGACAUGCUUGCAAUUCAUGAACAAAAGUCGAGAAUGUAUGUGGCUAAGAAUGUAAUAAAAUACAAUCAAGAAUCAUGCAUACUAUCUUCUAUUAAAGACAAUAUAAUAAUGUUACAUGAAGAUAAUGUUAAGGGUGAUAGAACUAAACAUAUUUCUCUCAAAUUUUUUUACAUUUGUGUGUUCAAAAAAGCAGUGAAAUCAAUAUCCAGGAAGUAAGAUGAAACGAUAGUUUAGUAGACCCAUUCACAAAGUAUUGCCAACUGUAACACUAAAAAAACUCAUAUAUAACAUUGGGGUGUAAUGACUCAAAGAUCUUCAUAUUGCACUACUAGAAAGUAGGAGGGCAAAUUAAUAAGGAUGCUAUUAUGUGUAUUGUAUUAAUUUUUUCUUCAUCUAAGUUUUAUUCCACUAGGUUUUAUUGGUAAGAUUUUUAAUAAUGCAAUUGUAGUGAGUGGUUGUCAUCAAAGGGGGAAUGUUGUAAAUGUUUAUUGUAGUUUAUGAAUGACUACACUUGUUCUCAAAGUUGUGUUACUCUUAGCCUAUAAAUAAGGUUUUUCUGGAUUAAUGAAAGAUAACAAAAACAACAUAUUAAUACUCUCCUCUUGUUUCCUUUUUCUUGUUUUCUACUUUUAUGUUUACUUUAAAUCAUUUCUCACAGAGAAUGGAUUAAAAGUUAUGAACAAUAAAACAAAUAAUCAUGUAAAAAAAUUACCAUUCCACUUUCUAUUAUUUUGUAAUAUAUAAAGAAACAAUUAUAAAACCUUAAUUAUAAUAAAUAAAAAAAAAAAAAACCAAACUCUUAAUAAAACUAGGAUUUUGAAUCCUAAAAAAAAAAAAAAAACUAAAAACUCAAAUAUUAAUAAAAUAAUUGUAAUAAAUUAAGCAAACAUAGAUACUUUAAUUAGGACUCUAAAAUGUUUUCCUUAAACCAAAUUCUUAACUUUAAUCAUGUUUAUCUUCUUCUUCAUGGGUUGAUUGGUUUUUUUCUAGAUGUCCGCCAUUUAAUUUUCAGAAAAACAAAACUUAAAGAUAUUUUUUAUUGUCUUUUACCAACUCACAAAUAUUGUAAAUUUUGAUGUCUAUAUAUUUGCUUUUUCAUGAAAAGUUAAAUUCACUACAACAAAAAUAGAGUUUUGUCAUGAAUUAAUUUAUAAUUAAAAAAGAGUAUUUCAUGCUUGAAGACCGUUUUUUUUUUUUUUUUUCAAUGUUACUAUGAAUUCAUGAACAAUUAUAUUUAAUCAUAAAAUUUGAAGUUUAUAUAUAUAGCAGAAAACUCUUAUUGUAAAUUAAAAUUUGUGACAACAUGUCACUUUCACGAUAAAAUAAAAUUUAUCGUGACAUAUCACUUCUCACUGUAAAACAAGUUAAUAACAACAUGUCAGUUUUUUUUUUUUUUUUUUUUUUAUUUUUUUUUUUUAUGAAAAUAAUCAUGAUAAAUUUUUCCAAAAAAAAAAAAUCAUGUUGAAUGAUCACCCUUCUAUUUUGCAUUGUACAAGAAAUAAAACUUGGGAUGAAACGUAUUUUGCCAUAAAAAAUAUUCUUAUGUAUCUUACCUAUUUUUGUUUUAAUACAUCUUCUAUGUUUCCCUCAACCAUCUAUCUCAUCAUACAAUUUAAAAUAUGUUCUUCCUUGCCAAUUCCAUAUUAGCCUUUCAAAUUAAACUUUUUCUUACUCAACUUAACAAAAGCAUGAACCAUGUGAAUUUAGAGUGACACUGUAAACCAGUAUAUGCCUGCUACAACCUAUCAUUUGACGUGCACCAUAAUGGUCCAUGGAUUCAAUACUACUUCUCAAGAGCACCCUUCAAUGCCCACCUAAUUUUUGAACAAAUAAGGUAUACGAUCAUAUUGACUGCUACCAACUAACCUGCACCAGAUUGAUCAAUAGAUUUAAUGCUACUAAUAUGGGUAUAUGGCAUUCUUGCCUGACAAAUAAUUGACGUUUCUAUUAAUGGAAUGAGGACUGGUCAUAUCUAAGCCUUGAGAAAUUAUCAAUUUCUUCUUCCCACUGUGGAGGAAAAAAAUAAUAAAUUCUAGACUAUACUCUCUACCUUUAUGAUUACUACCAAAAAGUGUUAUUUUGUAGACCUAAUUAUAAUGGUUUUAAGCACCUUUGAGUAGUAAUCAUAUUCAUUUAACCCAAUUAAUUCAUUAAGGUCCUUAGUAAUUGGUUUUAACCAUUUUGUGGCAAGUUUACAUGUUUUUAUCAGCUUAUGAAUCGAUUCAAGCAUGCCAAUUGAUGGAGGAGCUACUUGGGCGAGUUAAGCAAGGAUUUUGUACGUUUAUAGGCUUGAAUUUCAAGUGGAAACACGAGCACAAGCAAUGGAGAAGAGGAAAACAAAGUGAAGAAAACAGCUGCAGUCUUCCUUUGAACUUUUGGAGCACUUCCCGAAGUCCAUUUUUUGCAUGCUAUAUACCAUUUGAAAUCUUAGGAAGUCAAGAAUCCAACGCUUCAAACCGUGUAUGAUUUGGAGCUGAAAUGAGGAAGAUAUGGCCUUUGGAAGGCAACUGCAUCAUGUCAAAUGACCAAUUUCGCAAUGUGAAUUUCACAUUGCGAAAAUUUCGCAAGGAGAUUUUCUUCAUGGUGCGAAAUUUUGCCAUUUCGCAAUGUGAAUUUCACGUUGCGAAAAUUUCGCAAGGGGAUUUUCUUCAUGGUGCGAAAUUUUGCCAUUUCGCAAUGUGAAUUUCACAUUGCGAAAAUUUCGCAAGGAGGAUUUAGGCACAUUGCGAAAUUCCUUUGAAUCCCCUGUUUUGAGACGUUGUUGAUGUUAUUCCACUACCGGUUCUCCAAGAUAUUUUGCUUGAUUUUUAGCUUUGUAAAUACCUAUUUUACCCUUGUAAUCAACCAAUGAAUAGGUUGCUUUUGUAAUAGCUCUUGUAAUUUAGCUUGUUAUUGUCUUUAAAUAGAGGUGAAGAGCCUCAGACGAUCAUCUAAUCUUGUAACCUGUAACUUUAUAAGUUAUAAGANNNNNNNNNNNNNNNNNNNNNNNNNNNNNNNNNNNNNNNNNNNNNNNNNNNNNNNNNNNNNNNNNNNNNNNNNNNNNNNNNNNNNNNNNNNNNNNNNNNNNNNNNNNNNNNNNNNNNNNNNNNNNNNNNNNNNNNNNNNNNNNNNNNNNNNNNNNNNNNNNNNNNNNNNNNNNNNNNNNNNNNNNNNNNNNNNNNNNNNNNNNNNNNNNNNNNNNNNNNNNNNNNNNNNNNNNNNNNNNNNNNNNNNNNNNNNNNNNNNNNNNNNNNNNNNNNNNNNNNNNNNNNNNNNNNNNNNNNNNNNNNNNNNNNNNNNNNNNNNNNNNNNNNNNNNNNNNNNNNNNNNNNNNNNNNNNNNNNNNNNNNNNNNNNNNNNNNNNNNNNNNNNNNNNNNNNNNNNNNNNNNNNNNNNNNNNNNNNNNNNNNNNNNNNNNNNNNNNNNNNNNNNNNNNNNNNNNNNNNNNNNNNNNNNNNNNNNNNNNNNNNNNNNNNNNNNNNNNNNNNNNNNNNNNNNNNNNNNNNNNNNNNNNNNNNNNNNNNNNNNNNNNNNNNNNNNNNNNNNNNNNNNNNNNNNNNNNNNNNNNNNNNNNNNNNNNNNNNNNNNNNNNNNNNNNNNNNNNNNNNNNNNNNNNNNNNNNNNNNNNNNNNNNNNNNNNNNNNNNNNNNNNNNNNNNNNNNNNNNNNNNNNNNNNNNNNNNNNNNNNNNNNNNNNNNNNNNNNNNNNNNNNNNNNNNNNNNNNNNNNNNNNNNNNNNNNNNNNNNNNNNNNNNNNNNNNNNNNNNNNNNNNNNNNNNNNNNNNNNNNNNNNNNNNNNNNNNNNNNNNNNNNNNNNNNNNNNNNNNNNNNNNNNNNNNNNNNNNNNNNNNNNNNNNNNNNNNNNNNNNNNNNNNNNNNNNNNNNNNNNNNNNNNNNNNNNNNNNNNNNNNNNNNNNNNNNNNNNNNNNNNNNNNNNNNNNNNNNNNNNNNNNNNNNNNNNNNNNNNNNNNNNNNNNNNNNNNNNNNNNNNNNNNNNNNNNNNNNNNNNNNNNNNNNNNNNNNNNNNNNNNNNNNNNNNNNNNNNNNNNNNNNNNNNNNNNNNNNNNNNNNNNNNNNNNNNNNNNNNNNNNNNNNNNNNNNNNNNNNNNNNNNNNNNNNNNNNNNNNNNNNNNNNNNNNNNNNNNNNNNNNNNNNNNNNNNNNNNNNNNNNNNNNNNNNNNNNNNNNNNNNNNNNNNNNNNNNNNNNNNNNNNNNNNNNNNNNNNNNNNNNNNNNNNNNNNNNNNNNNNNNNNNNNNNNNNNNNNNNNNNNNNNNNNNNNNNNNNNNNNNNNNNNNNNNNNNNNNNNNNNNNNNNNNNNNNNNNNNNNNNNNNNNNNNNNNNNNNNNNNNNNNNNNNNNNNNNNNNNNNNNNNNNNNNNNNNNNNNNNNNNNNNNNNNNNNNNNNNNNNNNNNNNNNNNNNNNNNNNNNNNNNNNNNNNNNNNNNNNNNNNNNNNNNNNNNNNNNNNNNNNNNNNNNNNNNNNNNNNNNNNNNNNNNNNNNNNNNNNNNNNNNNNNNNNNNNNNNNNNNNNNNNNNNNNNNNNNNNNNNNNNNNNNNNNNNNNNNNNNNNNNNNNNNNNNNNNNNNNNNNNNNNNNNNNNNNNNNNNNNNNNNNNNNNNNNNNNNNNNNNNNNNNNNNNNNNNNNNNNNNNNNNNNNNNNNNNNNNNNNNNNNNNNNNNNNNNNNNNNNNNNNNNNNNNNNNNNNNNNNNNNNNNNNNNNNNNNNNNNNNNNNNNNNNNNNNNNNNNNNNNNNNNNNNNNNNNNNNNNNNNNNNNNNNNNNNNNNNNNNNNNNNNNNNNNNNNNNNNNNNNNNNNNNNNNNNNNNNNNNNNNNNNNNNNNNNNNNNNNNNNNNNNNNNNNNNNNNNNNNNNNNNNNNNNNNNNNNNNNNNNNNNNNNNNNNNNNNNNNNNNNNNNNNNNNNNNNNNNNNNNNNNNNNNNNNNNNNNNNNNNNNNNNNNNNNNNNNNNNNNNNNNNNNNNNNNNNNNNNNNNNNNNNNNNNNNNNNNNNNNNNNNNNNNNNNNNNNNNNNNNNNNNNNNNNNNNNNNNNNNNNNNNNNNNNNNNNNNNNNNNNNNNNNNNNNNNNNNNNNNNNNNNNNNNNNNNNNNNNNNNNNNNNNNNNNNNNNNNNNNNNNNNNNNNNNNNNNNNNNNNNNNNNNNNNNNNNNNNNNNNNNNNNNNNNNNNNNNNNNNNNNNNNNNNNNNNNNNNNNNNNNNNNNNNNNNNNNNNNNNNNNNNNNNNNNNNNNNNNNNNNNNNNNNNNNNNNNNNNNNNNNNNNNNNNNNNNNNNNNNNNNNNNNNNNNNNNNNNNNNNNNNNNNNNNNNNNNNNNNNNNNNNNNNNNNNNNNNNNNNNNNNNNNNNNNNNNNNNNNNNNNNNNNNNNNNNNNNNNNNNNNNNNNNNNNNNNNNNNNNNNNNNNNNNNNNNNNNNNNNNNNNNNNNNNNNNNNNNNNNNNNNNNNNNNNNNNNNNNNNNNNNNNNNNNNNNNNNNNNNNNNNNNNNNNNNNNNNNNNNNNNNNNNNNNNNNNNNNNNNNNNNNNNNNNNNNNNNNNNNNNNNNNNNNNNNNNNNNNNNNNNNNNNNNAGCAUGGGAUCCUAUCUCAUUGCCAUGAGAAUGCAUGUGGAGGCCACUUUGCCUCACAAAAGACAGCAAUGAGAGUUCUUCAAUCGGGCUUUUGGUGGCCCUCACUUUUUAAGGAUGCCCAUGAGGUAAGUAAAGGAUGUGAUAAGUGCCAAAGACUAGGCAAGCUUUCAAGGAGAAACAUGAUGCCUUUGAACCCCAUCUUGAUAGUGGAUCUUUUUGAUGUUUGGGGCAUAGACUUCAUGGGACCUUUCCCUAUGUCUUUUGGCCACUCCUACAUUUUGGUAGGAGUUGAUUAUGUUUCAAAGUGGGUUGAAGCUAUACCCUGUAGAACCAAUGAUCACAAAGUGGUUCUCAAAUUCCUAAAAGAAAACAUCUUCUCGAGGUUUGGAGUGCCUAAAGCAAUCAUCAGUGAUGGAGGCACUCACUUUUGCAACAAGCCCUUUGAAGCUCUUUUGGCCAAGUACGGAGUUAAGCAUAAGGUAGCUACACCUUAUCAUCCUCAGACGAGUGGCCAAGUAGAGCUAGCCAACCGGGAAAUUAAGAACAUCUUGAUGAAGGUGGUGAACACCAAUAGGAAAGAUUGGUCUGUUAGGCUCCUUGAUUCCCUAUGGGCGUAUAGGACGGCUUAUAAGACUAUCCUUGGGAUGUCACCAUACCGUCUUGUUUAUGGCAAAGCUUGCCAUCUUCCCGUUGAGAUCGAGUUCAAAGCAUGGUGGGCCAUUAAAAAGCUCAACAUGGAUUUAACUAAGGUUGUGCUAAAGAGGAGUUUGGAUUUAAAUGAGCUUGAGGAAUUGAGAAAUGAUGCCUAUCUCAACUCAAAAAUAGCUAAGGAAAAGCUAAAGAGAUGGCAUGAUCAGUUGGUGACCAAGAAAGAAUUUUUCAAGGGACAAAGAGUCUUGCUAUAUGACUCUAAGCUUCACCUAUUUCCGGGAAAGCUCAAAUCAAGGUGGGUAGGGCCUUUUGUCAUCCACCAAGUACACUCACAUGGAGUAAUUGAGUUACUCAACUCAAAUAGUGCAAAGACCUUCAAGGUAAAUGGGCAAAGACUCAAGCCCUACAUCGAGCCAUUUUCCCGUGACAAGGAGGUACUCAUCCUCCAUGACCCAUCACAUCCUUGAGAAAGUGUGGUAAGUUGAUGAGCUUAGCAUGAAAAGCUAAGUGCUCAUAUCUUUUUGUUUUAGUUUUAGUAUUACAUUCUUGUUUACUUUGCAUUUUUAGUACUUUUGCACAUAUUUUGUUUAGGUUUCUUAGUUUUGAUUUUGUUUUUUUUAUGUUUUUAAUGGAGCUUUGAUGUCCAAUAGCAGGUACGAAAGCUCACAAGCUCACAAAUGUGGAGAGAAAGGUGAAAUAGGGGAGAAAUAUAUCUAAGUCCAAGCUUAAAAGCCCAUUUCGCAACUCAAAAAGUGAGUUGCGAAAAUUUCGCAAGGUGAAUUUCACCUUGCGAAAUGCACAUUUUGGCAAGAUGCAAAAUGCAACCUCUCGGGAUUGCACUUUCGCAAGGAGUAACCAGUGCGAAAAUUUUCGCAAGUCAUUUUUCACCUUGCGAAAUUGUUUUCAAAGCAAAUAUCAAAGUGCAACCUCUCGGGAUUGGUUUUUAAGGGGAGUAGCCAGUGCGAAAAUUUGGCAAGGUGAAUUUUCACCUUGCGAAAUUUUUUCUUCAUGCUUACCAAGGUUUUGAUUCUUUUUAAAUUCAUUUUCACAGCUAUCCUGGACCAGCACUCCGCCAUGCUCUCUCAGAUCCACCAUCACCUGGGCAUAUCACCUCCUCCACCUCAGGAGCCACAUCCAUGAUUGGAUAUUUCUAUCUCCAUUUUGUAUAUGUUUUUUGUCGAUGUACAUGUUUUAUAUUCUGAGAUUGUAUGUACCUCAUGCUUCUAUCUUGUACUCAACUCUCUCAGUUUAUAUAAGCAUCAUUUUUUGUAUCUUAUUUCCUCUCUCACGUUUCUUAUGGUUUUUGAAUCAUGUGGAUGCACUCACACGCUUUGAAUACCACAUCACCAUAAGGUAUAUCAUUCCUUCCUCGUUUUUUUCGAUAGAAACAUUGGGGACAAUGUUCAUCUCGGUUGGGGGGAGAGUUGAGGAAGUAAGUAUUUCCUAUUUUAGUUAGUAUUUUGUUGAUUUAGUAGUUUUUGCCCUUUUUCAAAAUUUUUUGUUUCAUUCUCUAUGGUUGUUAAAGAUAAUUUCUCAAAAUAAAAUAGGAUAAGUCGAGUUUUAACUUAAUUACUUAAGUCUUAGAGUUUGUAUUAUGCUCUUCUAAAAGUUGAUGAAUUGUUGAAACUCCCAUUGCAUGCAAACUUAUCUCUUCCACCUUAAGCUAUUCGCACACACAUACAUUAGAUUCCGGUUAUAAGAUGUGAAACUAUCUCACCCUCUAAGCUUAGGAAAAUUUUGACUUGGUUUAUUACUUAACCUCUUUUUAAUAGUGUUGGGACACCUCAAAAAGACCAAUGAGUCUUAGAAAAAGAAAAAGAGAAAAAGAAAAAGGAAAAGAGAAAAAGAAAAAGAAAAAGAGAAUAAGCUUCUAUUCUUUCCUUGAAACCUAAGCAUGAUCCGAAGGGGUGGCGAAAGCCUUUAAAACCCGAUGCCCUAAACCUUGAUUGGUUGGGAGUCAUCGAUCCUCUGCUUGCUACAUAGGUGAAUUGGUUAAGUUUAGUGAGUAAAAAGAAUUGUGAAUAAGAAGGUGCGUUCCUAACCUAUUAAGAGUUGGUUAAUUUUGCCAAUGUCCGAGAAAAGCUUAGGUUGGGGGGAGAGGAUAGUUGUGCAUACUAUAUCCGGAAGCUAAUCUCAUUAACACUUAGCUCAUUAUGGAAGAGUUUGAUCCGGAACCUUGAGAGUAGAGAUUCUUUUGAUACUUAAUUGCAUAAUCUCCACUCUUUGUACUUUUUGUUUAAGUUUUAGCUUUGACAACUCCUAUUGCAUUUUGAAUCUUCGUAUCUUUAGUUCACCAUGUGAGAUGUGUUUUGAUUUCAGUCAUCCCACUCAAUUAUUUUUUGGAGUGAUUUUCAUGAUCCCUUUUAUGUAUAUUAUUAUAGUUUACUUAGUUUUUAUCUCCUCCAUUGCUAAGGGACUAGCAAUGAGUCGGUUGGGGGGUGUGAUUACUACCAAAAAGUGCUUUUUUGUAGACCUAAUUAUAAUGGUUUUAAGCACCUUUGAGUAGUAAUCAUAUUCAUUUAACCCAAUUAAUUCAUUAAGGUCCUUAGUAAUUGGUUUUAACCUUUUUGUGGCAAGUUGACAUGUUUUUAUCAGCUUAUGAAUCGAUUCAAGCAUGCCAAUUGAUGGAGGAGCUAUUUGGGCGAGUUAAGCCAGGAUUUUGGANNNNNNNNNNNNNNNNNNNNNNNNNNNNNNNNNNNNNNNNNNNNNNNNNNNNNNNNNNNNNNNNNNNNNNNNNNNNNNNNNNNNNNNNNNNNNNNNNNNNGUAGUAGCUGAGCGUCAUAAAUGUUUUCAUUCAAAGUAAAGCUUUUAAUCCCUCUGACUUGCUUUGAAUGGCAAUACUUGAUAAGCUUUUGGUCUCAGUGGAUUCUUAUUGUUAGAUCCACUGAUGUUCAUUAGUUAUCUCCUACGAGCCAUUGUAUUGCAAGUCGAGGAGAUGACCUAUAUCAUUAAAAGAGCAUUUAUGAGGUUCAACUACCCUUUUUGUAAGUUUUCAAGGACUAAAACUCAGUUGUUAAACUCAUACCGGUUCGGGAAGUAAGCAUCACCUUAGUUGCUUCCCCAACUCGAGGUGAAAAGUCCCAAAAUCUCCAUUUUUUACAUAGUGAGUUAAGCAUGGCUAUCCAAAGCUUUGAGAAACUUCUUUUUCCAUCUUUUAACCUAUUUUCAUGUUAGUUUAGUUUACACACCUUCAUCUCUAUAUGUUUUCAUCUUAACUUAAUUUUUAUUAAGAAAAGUUCACUCCAUCCUCCGAACUUCACCAGUUAAAGUAAAAACCCUUCCCAGUGUUCGAUCCUAGAGCCACUAUGCUAUAGUAGCUUUGCUACUUUAGUGUAAGGACGUUAGGUAUAAAUUUUGUUGAUACCCUUACAUGCCAAGCUACCAAGAGUCGGGUUAUCACUUUAGAAUUAGCCACUUGUCAAAAACAUGAACUGAACCAUGACUAUUUUUAUUUUAUUUUAUUUUAUUUUAAUUUUUUUUAAUUGAGUCGGGAACCCACUUGCCCACUUCUUCUUCUUUUUUUUUUUUUCUUUUUUUUUCUUUUCUUAUCCUUUUGUUUUUUCUGAUUUCCCUUUUUUCUUUUGGUUUUUUCCAUUCUUUAAUUUCUUUAUUUAGUUUUUAAAAUUAAAAUUGUUAAUUUGUUUAAAAUUUUUCAAAAAGAUGGAAAUUAUAGAAAAAAAUUAUGUUAGAAAAAGUUAUCUUAAAAAAUAAGAUGUAUAAAAAUCAUUAAAUAUAAAUUUAUUAUUAAAGAUUAAUGUUAAAGAAUAAAGAAAUUGUGUGUUCCGAUGAGACUUUCUUAAGGGUUCAACUUAGGAGUACAACCUUGAAAAAUAAAAAAUAAAUUAAAAUAAAAUUAUAGACCCUCUAUUUUGUCCCUUGCACACAUAUUUUUAUUGUCAUUUUUCAUCACACUUUGCUCUUUUUCAGCACGUGUUUAGAAUCCCUUUUUGCUCAAUUUUUCAUGGUCUCUUAGUGGUUUGCGUCUACUUAGCUCAUUAUCGAUUUUUUGAGCUACAUUUUGGGAGACCAUUAGAGGAUUGAUUUGGGUCCGACAUGAUUAUUGGAGGCAUGUUAGGAUUGGUUAUUUUAGAGUGUGUUUUUAGAGCUUUAAAGCUCUUUUGGGCUAUUUGGUUGGGAUGAGGACACGUGUCCUCAUCUUGGCCGUCUGUUUUCUUUGUUUUUUUGGCUCUUUUUGGCCCUUUGUGAGGCUUUUCCCCCACUUUUUGGAGACGGUUUUUUUUAGGAAAGUGGGAGACAAUCUCUGAAGGGUAAGUUGCGAGAGACACGUGGCACAUGACACUAUUGUCUUGGGCAUGGUGUGGUGGUUAGGAGUUCAGGUGAGAUUCCUGGAGGGGGGAGGAGAAGAGGAGGAGCUACAAAUGGAGAUUCCGAGUGAAAAGUGAAGGGCUGAGGGAGGCAUCAUUAGAGGAAAAAAAACACAGAGAAAAUGAGGGAUUCUGGGUUGAGUGUUCGUGAGAAAAGAGAGAUAGCUAUGAGCAUAGGAGAGAGUUAUUUUUUUUUUUAGAGAUGAACCAGAGUGAGUUGUAGAGGAAGAUGAGAAAGUGUUCGUGAGAGUUUGGAGGAACCAGAGAGAGCUGAGAAAGAGGGAGAAAAUAAAGAGAGCUAGACCAAAGACAAAGGAUGACCAAAAGAUAGAAACUGUUGAUGACAUGAAAGGAGGGGCAUUUUGAUUUUUCUGGUGGGUUUUGCUUGGUGAGAUGAAAGAGUAGUGAGGCUUUGUUUUUGGUGGGUUUGUGCUAAGCAAGUAGAAACUGGAGAAAAGAAAAAUAAAUAAGGGUUGCAAACUAAAGUGGAUGGACUUCCUAAGCUUUUCGACGCUCAAACAUUAUGUGUCUAAGCUAGUGCUCAGACAUCAUGCGUCUAGGCCGACGCUUAGACAUCGGGUGUCUAGUCCGUCGCUCGAACAUUUGGCAUGGUUUACCAUACAUGUUAGAAAUCAUGAGGACUUGACUGAAUUGAUUUGCCCGUCUGAGAAGUCCAACCAACUUGGUUUGUCCAUCCCGUCUAGAAUUGUGGAAGAAAGAAAACUUCUCACUUCUAAUACUAGAAGGAGCUUAUUUUGGUCUAGACGAAGUGAUCCCAAACGGGUUACUUCUAGUGUCAAACGGAGUUUAUCUUGGUCCAGACGAGUUAUAUAUUUGUCUUGGUCAGUCAAAAGGUCUUGAGUCUAGGAUGGACACAUGGAGGGAAGCCCCCCACAACCCUCAACAUCAAAUCCAUUAAGUACGAGUUACUAGAAGAGAACCUGCGAGCCAAGAGCCAACUUCUCCUCCAAUCCAACCCAGUCCACAAGAAAGUCCCAGUUCUCAUUCACCAUGACAAACCCAUAUGCGAGUCCCUCGUCAUUGUUCAGUAUAUCGAUGAGGCUUGGUCCUCUGCUCCCUCUAUCCUCCUCUCAGACCCUUACAACUGCGUUGUGGCCAACUUUUGGGCUGCUUAUAUUGAUAACAAAGUUUGUCUAAUUCUUUAUGUAGAAUCACUCCAAUUAUGUAUUUCAAUAGGGCAUGUGUGGACCCCGCAUUUCGGCUCAAUGCGUUUCCCACUCGAUGGCGAGCUCGAUUUUUAUUUGAAAAUUUGAUUUUUUUAUUGAUUGUUUGAAAAAUGACUUGGAAUCGCCACUUAUUUUUGUUUCAUUUUUAAAUGGUAAACAAAAUAAGAAAGAAAAACCCUAAGUGUGACUCCUUAUUUUGGAAAAUGUGAUCUACGAAAAACCGGAUCGGGUUCGGGGGUCAGGUUACUUAUCGGGAAGGUACGGUAAAAAACCGUAGCACCCCUCUAAGUCCCUAAAGUCGGGUCUCUACUAAUAAAAUGAAGCUGACAUGACAAUCAAUGAGAAAAUCAAUGAAUACUCGAAUCAAUCAUGCACAUAUGAGAAACAAAGCAUGUAUAAAGAAUGAGCAAAAUAUGAAUAGAUGCGUACCUGGGCGGCAAUCACGAAUGCGCUAUCAUGAAACAUGGUUAGUGAACAAUGAACAUAUAUAAUUAAGCGCAUAUCAAGGAAUAGAGUAAAUCAAUCAUGCAUGACAAAUAAAUCAAUCAAUCAUGGAAUCUCAUAUGUAGGGCCCCCACCAAGACCCAAUUUAUUUUUGCAUGAAUUAAUUCCAUAAAUUCCCUUGCUUGGAAUUACAGAAUUUUAUUCUAGCUUAUUUUAAAACAUUUUGAAAAUCUGAGGAGUUGUGAAAAUUGCUUGUCAGGGAGAAAAGUGACAGCAAAUUUUUAUUAAAAAUGGGAUUUUUGGAACCUAAGAAUUCUAUGGAUGAAAAGUGCGAAAUUGAAAUUAUUGUUUUAUUGAAAAACGAGGAAUCAGAAAAUUAUUAAAAAAAUGAGAUUUGAAAAUUUGUUGUCAAAGUCAAAGAGGAUAAAAAUGGCAGAUGUCACGUGACCAAGGGUGGUCAUGCAAUUGAAUGCACAUAUGCGCGGGCCCAAGGAGGUCACUGGGGCUGCUUUGUUGGCGCACCAUCCUCUCUUAUAACUGCAAAUAGGCUCGGUAUGAAAGAAGCUUGAGACAGAUCUGGUGACUCAAAACAUGAACCUCCCCCCACAGAGCUUUCGACCACAACCACCUGGGUUAUAAUACCUCUCCCCUUCAACAGGCUUCAGGAACUCAUUAAUGCUGGCAGCCUUCUUAGCUCUCUCUUCCUUCUCAGCAUCCUCUUACCGCUUAUCCUUAUUGGAGCCUCAAUUUGAUGAAGAUGUCAUCAUUUAGAGACUCAAGAAAUUCCACAAACACCAAGACGGCCCCAAGAUCACAUGCCACCUUAGUGUUUAUAAGCUGUGAAUCUGCGGGUAUGACCUGUCACAUGGAUGUCUAUAUCUGACUACCUUCGACGCGUAACUGGUGAGCCCAAGUCCUCUCACGGAAUAACCUGAUGACCAUGGUGUAGUCCAAGCUUGAAUUGACCAAUGGUCAGUGUUUUGGUCUCUGGGCAACGUGUCUCCUCAUCAUAUUCACCUCAGGCAAUAUACAUGUCAGAACAAAGGGUUUUCAAGUAAUCAUGAACCUCUUUGAUACGCAAAUUCCCAGUGCAAAUGAUGUGCUGGAUCUUGCCAGGAACAAGCAUGGAUUUGAACUUUGGCGGCUAAUCAGGAGCCCUAUCAGGGAUAUGAAGAUCCCCUAAAGCCAACACCAGCACCAUUCUUCUCUGAUUCUCUGUGCCUAUGUUGCCUCCUUGACCUCCCGUGCAGCAACCUGUGGAGGGCACGUCUAGGUGCAGUCAGCAUACUAACCCUUAGAGGCUUCAUGAUGAUAUUUGGAUUAUAAACCCCAGAAGAAUUGUAGAGAUUCUUGAUGUCACAGGAGAGAUUGGUUGCCAACAUGCUCAGGAAUCAGAUUCUGAGUUCUGGAGUCUUUUGACCUUAUUGGGCUUAUUCUUUUAUUGCUUCCAAAGUGAUAAGGACUCCUGCCACUUGAAAGAUACACUUGGUUUCAACUUCAACAAACUAUGGUAUCCAGUGAUGAAAACUGGGCAUGAGCUGUUCUUUGUCUCUACUAAAAGAAAUCUUCAUCCAGAAAUGUUAAAGUCCACCUCUCGGACUGAAUCAAUUUCGCCCGGAGCCAAGGGGAGGGACCAUGUCUAAAGACUUGAUGAUAAAAGCAUAAGUGAAGGCAUAUUCUUGGAGCUUCUCAAAUCUCCCUAACUUGGAGGAAUGCCCAGCAGCUAGUUCCACCAUCAAUAACAUUGAAAAUAAGGAAGCCUUGGAGACCAGCACAAUAGUCAGCCAGUUUUCGGAUCUGGUCCGAGCAUAGAAUGAGAAACUUUGAUGGACAAUCUGAGUUUUCAUAGGACUGUUAUUGUUGAAUCUCUGCAGCUAAGCAAGAUCUUGAGGAGAAACACAUAUAGGUUUGGGAUUUUUCUCCUUGUAAAAAUGCUUAAGUUCAGAAAGGUCCUUCAGUUAUGAAAUCACAAGUUUAUCAGCAGCUUGGAUUUUAUCAGGUUCAUAAGGAGUAUGAGCAACUUGGAGCUGAAUAUAAGCUGACUUUAAGGGGGAGAUGUUCAUAAAAAUCCUGGAUAUCAGGGCUUCUAGUGCUUCUGAAGUCUGAUUAGUGGCCUCUUCCAUGGGUUAGGGGUGAACCUUCUUUUUCUCCUUGUGAUCUCCACCAGUAACAGUGUUGUUUGCAUUUGAGUUGUUGCACCUUCUUGAAGCUGUGCAUGACAAGCAGAGAGGUUGGGAUAGAUGCACAGGGCUGGAUGAUGGAUGAUGAAUAAGGAGUGGUGAAAUGGGUAUGAAAGAGUUUGGAGAGAGAGAAAAGGUGGUAAUGUGGAAUGGGUUUGAUGGGUGCAUGCAUGGGGGCAUGAAGCGAGGGCUUAGGUGGAAAUGGGUAUGAGAUGAAAUGAGUUGGAUGGGUGUGGUUGAAUGGGUAUGGAGGAUUUGCAUGGAUCCAAUGGGUACAGAGAGGUGGGCAUUAUUUGUGAAAUGGGUAUGGAAAGGGAAACGGGUAGAUGAGUGAUGGGUUUAAUGAUUUCGAUGGGUUGAGGUGAGAGAUAUGGUAAGAAGGGGUGAUGGGAAGGGUACAUUUAGUGGCAGAUUGGAUGAAUAAGAGGAGGUAAUGAGAUGUGCAGCUUGGUGGGCAUGAAAUGGGCAUGAAGUGAUUAGCAUGACCGGUGAUGGAUAUGGUGAUUGUGAAUGGCAGCCAUGGGUGCAUAAGUGAGGGAUGGGUACGUGAAGGUGGUGAGUUUGCAUGGGAUAGAUUGUGGGGUGAUGGAUAUGUAGAGAUGAGGGGAGGUUCAGAGAUAUGGGUAUGGGGGUUAGGUGCUGGGAUGAUGUGGCAAUAGGAGUAUGGGUACGGUGCAAUGGAGUUGUGAUUGCACAAUUAGGUGCAAAACUCCCACGGUUGGGGGUGCUCUCUUUCCAUUAGCUCAUUAACAUGCUAGCCGCAUAAGUAGUUGUUCAGAGACUGUCAUCAACACAAUCAACAUUGAUGCCAUAGAGACAACCGCUAAGUAGAAUGACCAGGAAUCAGAGAACCUAUUGUCGUUCUUUCAAAACAAGUGAAGGAGCUUUCAGGUUCCUUUGACGAGUACCACUCUCUCAUCACAUCCAGAUAUGGUUUCCUCGACCCUUACCUUUACACCAAUUUCUUGACAUAUUUGUGAGAUUACGGUGCCAUAUUUCUUCAUGACAAUACCAGUUUCAAAAGUAAGGCAGAGUAUGCGAAAACAACGGCACUAGGAGAGAUUUUCAACGACUGAUUUCAUGAUCGAAGACCUCCUGAUCGUUGCCAUUUCCCUUUCCCAUUAGGAUCAACAAGACUCCACUCACAUGACCUCUCUCUCUGUUCAGAAAAUCCUCCCAAAGCAGUCAGCUACAGCACAUUCUCCUUCCUUGCACCAAUACGUUCUCCUUAUCUAAAAAAUACUCCUCCUCUGUUUUUCUUUUCAAGACUUUCCUCCAACCAACUGUCCAAGAUAUACUUCGAUACACUGUUUGAGGUAAGGAUUUUUGCAACCACGGCUUACACUGCAAGGGAUCCCAGGUGAUGAUAUAUGGGCCAAGGCACUCCACAACCAGUUACAUGAGAACAGAGAAGGGUGAAUGAUGAAAUUGUUUAAAAACAGAGCAAGAAUGACGCGGGGAAAGAAGUAUUUAGACCAAGCCACGUAUCAUGAGUGAUAAACGGGCUUAAAACCGGUGGGACAAACAGGAAGGCUUCAAUACAACUAUCAUACAUCAAACUUAAACCCAAGGAAGAAUCUCACCAUUUACAGGGGAAAAACAAGAGUAUAAGAGGGGAUAAAACAGAGCAACUGCAAUGUGAGCUUAAAUACAACAAACUCAAUAAUCAACGCUUAAAAUCGACAAUGACAAGGAAAAUAACUCAAAGAAAUCCAAAGCAAAAGCGUUUGUAGUGGUCAUACCUGAACUCCUUAAGUGAAAAACAGUCCAACUCCUUCUCUUGCAGUCAUGAAAAAAAAUACCCUCAAAAAGAUGAACCUCCUCUAUUCUUUUCUUUCCUCUCACCUAUGGAAACUCCCUCCGGAAUCCUCUGGCAAUCCCCUCACGGCCUGCCCAAGACCCUACUUCGGAAAAAUCUCUCUAACGGCCUGCUCCCAGAUACCCUCCAGCAGCCCAGGUACCUCCUAAAAGCUUGCUCUCCCUCAGCUAGCCAAAAGGAAAACCCCCCUCUGCUUCUAGCUUCAUACUCCAGUUAAACCAAUACCUCUCUCCGUAGCAGCCUAAACUCCAGGAAUCCUCCUCAGAAAAAUCUCCUCCUCUCUCUAAAACUCCCUCUGUUUCUUUUGCUUCUUCUCUCUAAAGCUCCCUGAUUUUUCUCUAUUUUCUCUCUCUCGUCUCCCUCAGUCUCACAAAAGCAGCUUUUCUGCUUCCACCCAGAAUCCUUCCUCCCCAAAAACCUAAACAAAAACUCUUCCUUCCCCCCUAAAACCAAACAAAAGCCCCCCUCACCCUAAAAGAUCUCUGCAGCCUUCUCUAAAAUGGAAAAGCACCACCUGAAAAGCACUCCACCUCCAGCACCCACCUGCAGCUGGCCUGCUGCUCCUCAACGGAAACGUACCUCCUCUCUAACGGCCAGAAUAUCUCCAUGCCACGUGUCCAACUCUCACUCGCUCCUCAAUUCCACCAUCUGUUUCUAUGACCACCAACCACGAGGCGACACGUGGCUCCUUGAGAGCCCUCCACCUGCAAAGAAUUAUAACCUGUAGAGAUGCAAAGGAAUGAGCCCCAAAUGGGGGUCUACAGCAUGCAAUUCCUCUUGUUUGACUAUAGUAUGGUUCAAAUGGAUGUUGUUGUUUUCAGUGAUGUUUGGGGUAUGGAAGAUUCAAGGAGUAGAGGCAAAAAAGACGGCAUUGGAUCAAGUACGUGAGGGAUUAAUGGUAUUGGAGGAGGAGUUUGGGAAGUGUAGCAAAUGUAUGGAUUUCUUCGACGGGGAUCGGAUUGGAUACGUUGAUAUUGCCCUAGGGAGCUUGUUGGGGUGGGUGAAUGUGAUGGAGAAGAUGAACGGAUGUAAAGCUACUUGAUAAAGAUAAGAUAUCUGGUCUAGCAGCAUGGGCUAAGAAGUUUUGUGAGGAUGGUGCUGUGAAGGAUGUCAUGCCAGACAACGAUAAGAUUUUGGAGUAUGCUGCAAGGUUCAAAAAAUCGGUCGAGUCCGGUACGACUCGACCGAGUCACAUUCGCCUCGACGCCGACCGCAACGAGUCUGAUACCAGAUAUAAUUUAUACUUAGACUCGGCCUUGAAUCGAUUGGACUCGGAUGACUCGACCGAUAUUCCGCGUUAACUCGAUCAACUCGAAAAAAAAAAAAAAAAACCCAAUCAACAGAUUCCCUGCAAAAGAAACCCAUCACAACAAGAAUCAAUUUUUCAGAGAAAUCAGAGAUUCAUCUGCAAAAGAAAACCCGUGAAAAUUUGAAACAAACCCAUGACCCUUUCAAAAACCUUUAAAAAAAGCCUCUGUUGAAAAAUAACUUACUUAACCCUAAAUCCACCAUUGUCGGAGUGUAGAAUGUUUGUCUUUGGUGCGUUGUCGAUGGGAAUGAAACAGAUCGUGGUUGUAUGGUAGUAGUGGGAAGGUCUGAUAGUCUGAGAGGCUACAGAUCGUGGUCUUCAUGGUGUGUUGGGGAAGAAGAUAGCAAGGCUACAGAAUCGGUCUUCGUGGUGUGUUGGGGAAGAAGAUAGCAAGGCUGCAGAUCGGUCUUCGUGGUGUUGGGAAAGAAGAUAGAGGGUAAGGGUUUCAAACCAGCAGGUAAUAACUAAUAAAAGUAAUUCCCCUUUUUUGCUAUAUAGUUGUACUUAAUGAAGCAUGUGAGUAUAUAUACACUCCUCUGUAUACGAUUUAACACUUUAUUGUUACUAUAUAUAAUCUAUCAUUCCUUUUCAAAUAUUGGAUGGUUAUAACAUUUUUGUUUUUAGGUGCCAAUUAAUUUGAUUGACUUUCAUCCAUCACAUAAAUGAGAAAACAUAAAUGAAUAUCUUUAAUAUUUUAAAAUUAUUAUCACCAUUAAAUUAUACAUUCUAUCAAUUUCUCAAUACUCUUAAUAAAAUCAGUGAUUAUUUUUUAUUUUAUACAAUGACAAGUGACAUUAAAUACUAAUAUAUUUAUUAAGUGAUUAAUUAAAAUUCAUCUUAGCCCAAUUGGGUGAUUGACCAUCCUUGAGAUGUGAUCUAUUUGUCUUUGGUUGAAUGGUCUUUGAUUUUUGUUUUAUAUUCUUCAACUAUGGUAUAAUCUAAUUUUCCAUAUAUAAGUAAAAAAUUAUAAGUACUCAUUUGUAAUAGAUACUAAACCUUCGUUUAGGUUAUAUUUGAUUCCCAAAAAAUUAUUAAGAAAAUUUAUUUAUUUAUUUCACUAUUUUUAUCAUAAAAAAUAUAAAAUAGAAUCAAUUGCAAUUAAAAAUUAGCUAAACAUUUAUAUAUUUUUAAAUUAUAUAAUCUUUAUAUAAAAAAUAAAUAAAUAAAAUGAAUUAAAAGAGCCAUACAAAAAUAAUUUAUUAACCUUAAAUUUGUUUAGUUUUCUUUUUCUUUUUCCCUCUAAUAUUCAUAAACCAAAUAUAGCAUUAGUAAAUGACUUAUUUAAUUAAAAAGGUUAUUGAAAACCCAAUUUUGGAAAUCUAACCCUUCAUUAUUUUUUUGGCAUCAUUUUAAAAAAACACUCUCAUUUUUUUCUUAUAAAAAUAAUUAUUUCUUUUAAAGCAUUCAUGUAAAUACUUAAAAUAAUCAAUAUAUAUAUAUAUAUAUAUAUAUAAAUGAGUUACUCUUCAAAUAUAAGGAUUAUUUUCAUCAUUUUUAACUAAUUAGGUUUUAAUAAAUUGAGUAAAUCUCAAGAUAGUUUUAAUACUCAAUCUUUCGUUUGAAUUAGAAUUGCCAAGUAGUUACUCACUAACAGUAAUCACCAAUGUUACAACAUAAUUUCAAAGCGUCUUAUCAUACAAGAUAUUAAAAUAAAUUAAUUUUCUUUUCCUAGUUGUCUACUUUAUUUUUUAUGCUAAUAAUAUUUUUUUUAAAAAUUAAUAAGGAGAAAAAUUGACAUUUGACAUAUAAUUAGUCAAAUAGUAUUCAGUAAAAUUAUCAUCAAAAUCUUUUAUAAUAUUAUUAUUGAGUGAUAUCAUGAGCUCUGAAACAUUACAUUGCCUGGUUGAGUAAAUGUUAUAUAUUUUAUAUAAAAUUUUGUAUAAUGCUACAAAAUAUAAUGUACAAGAAAUUGUAUUGAAUACUUUAAAACUAUCACUCAAUUUUCUAUUAGUAUAAAUAAAUUUACAUUAUAUUAGUGACAAAAAAUCUCCCUAUUACUCAAUUACAUUAAUACUAUAUUGCAAAAUUAAAUUACAUUAGAAAAUUAAUAAUCAUUUAAGUUUUUUUUCAAAUAAUCAUAAAUGAUUUAAUAAUACGGAAUGAAGGGUAUGGCAUUUACAUGGUAAAUUACAUUUAUAUUUGAAUCAAUCUACUUCAUUAUAUCAUGUAGAUUUUUUAUUUUAUAAUAUUCUACAAUUAAAUUACAAUAGGAAAUCAAUAAUUAUCAAAACAAUAAAUUGGUUUACUAAAUUAUUUUUGUAUGGUAUAGAAAUAUAAAGUACAUUUAUAUGGUAAACUUUAUAUGGUAUAAAUAUUGUAUUUUUAAUUUAUGUUUUUAUCUUAUAAUAUUGCAAAAUUAAAUUACAUUAGAAAAUUAAUAAUUAUUUAAUUUUUUUUUCAAAUAAUUAUAAAUGAUUUAAUAAUGCGGAAUGAAGGGUAUGCAUUUACAUGGUCAGUUACAUUUAUAUUUGAAUCAAUUUUACUUCAUUAUAUCAUGUAGAUUUUUUAUUUUAUAAUAUUCUACAAUUAAAUUACAAUAGGAAAUCAAUAAUUAUCAAAACAAACUUUUUUAAAAGAAUUUUUUUAUAAAAAUAUCCAUUUAUUUACUAUUAUUUAUUUUAAUUAAAAAACAUAUAAAUAAGUGGAAAACAAAAUAUGAUGAACUUAGGUGAGAUCGUGUUUAUUGUUUUUUUUAGUAGAAUUUAUUUUUAUAUGGUAACAAUAUGAAACAUAUAAGUGAAUGGAAAAUUGAAUAUUAUAAUUCUUAUCUAAAUGUGUUUAUAUAUAUUUAAUUUGAAAAGUAAGUUGUUUUCCUUUUAUACAUGGUUAUGUUAAAAUUUCAAAAUGGCUUCAAAACAUGAUAUUGGUUGGGUGCAUGUAGAACCUGUUGGUGGUAGUAGAAGAACCACAAAGUGUAAAUAUUAUGGGAAAGUUAUACAUGGUAGUAUAACAAGAUUAAAGCAACACAUCGCACAUAUAUCUGGACAAGUGGAAGAAUGUCCACGUGUAUCGGUAGAAGUGUCACAUAGUGUUAGACAACAUAUGUUUGAUACUUCAAAAGAAAAAGAACAGUUAAAGAAAAAAAAAAGAACGACUUUUGAGUUCCUUAAAUAGAGAAAAAUUCUAUAAAAUUGAUGAGGGUGCUUCUGAUGAUGAAAUUGAGGAAGUUGCUAUGGCUAAUUUUGAAAAAAGACCAAUGAAACAAGCAAUGAAACAAAGUCGUUGAAUUUUUUAAGAGAAUGGACAAGAGCAUCAGAAGGGUGGUAGUUCCUUACAACCUUCUAAUUCUAGGAUUAAGCGCGGACUAACAUGUAGCUUCAGUGUAAGAGAAGGAGCUAACAUACCUCCAAAAGGAAUUGAUCUCUACAUGUUCCCAUCAAAGCAGAAAUCAAUAAAAAAAACUUAUUUUCUACUGAAGACGUGAAAAAAGUGGGUAAAGUUAUUUCUAAAUUCUCUCUUUAAUGCAAUACCCUUUAAUGCAGCUGACAAUGGGCCUUACUAUCAAUCAAUGAUUGAUACCAUAGCAGAAGCAGGUCCAGGCAUCAAAGGUCCCAUGGGAUACCAAAUUAGAAAUACAUAUUGGAAAAUGAGGUGCAAGAGCUUGAGGUAUACAUAACAAGAUUGAAGGCUAAAUGGCCUAUAUAUGGGUGCACAAUCAUGUGUGAUGGUUGGAGUUCUAAGACUAGAAAGUCUAUCAUCAAUUUCAUGAUGUAUUGUGAUAGAAGUAUGAUAUACCAUUCUUCAUUUGACACUACCAACAUACCUAAGACAGCAGACUACAUAUUUUCCCUCAUGGAUAAAGUUGUAGAGGAGAUUGGGGAGGAAAAUGUUGUUCAUGUAGUCAUUGAUAAUGAGGCAAGUUUUAAAGCAAUCGGUAUGUUGUUGAUGGAGAAGCGGAAGCAUUUGUUUUGGUCUCCUUGUGCAGCCCACUAUAUUGAUUUAAUGCUUGAAGAUAUUGCAAACAUGAAGCAGAUUAAGAAGACAUUAGAUCAAGCUAAAAUGAUCACAAGAUUUAUUUAUAAUAGCUUGAAAGUAGUGAAUUUGAUGAAAGUGUUCACCAAUGAUAGAGAUCUGUUAAGGCUAGGAAUAACCCGUUUUGCCACUGAAUUCAUUUCACUUAAGAGUCUUAUACGUUAUGAGGCUGAUUUGAAGAGAAUGUGCACAACAAAUGAGUGGUGUGAAUUCAAUAAAGAUAGGAGCAGAAAAAGUCUAAGAGAUAAGGUAUCCAAUCUUAUCUUAACUAAUCGAUUUUGGAAGAAGGCAUAGGAAGUUCAAACCAUCAUGGAACCUCUCGUCAAAGUAUUGAAAUUGGUUGAUCAAGAUAAAAAGGCCACACUAUCAAUCAUUUAUGAAGCAAUGGAUAGAGCUAAAUUGGCUAUCAAGGCAUCGGUCAAGCAAUGGGAAAGUAUUGGGAAGCCAUUGAUAGAAGAUGAGAAGGUCAAUUGCAUAGACAUUUACAUGUUGCAGGUAAUAAAAAAAUUCUUUAUAUAUUUUUUAUUAUUUUUUCAAGUACAAAUUAUUAUAAACUGAUCAUUAUUUAACUUAUUGCAACAUAUUUUUUAAAUCCAAUGUUCCAAUAUUCAAAGCAUUUCUCCAACCAUCCGGAAAUUAAAGUUGGAUUAAAGGAGGUUAUCAAGAUAUUAGAGCCAGAUUUAGAUAGACAAGCAAAAGCUAUUAACGAGGUAUAAUAAUAAUUUGUGACCUUUAUAUAAUGCAUUUUGUAUAUGUAAUGUGCAUUAACAAAAAAAAAUUGUUAAUGAUGUAAGUGAAAUUAUUUGUUGACGACCAAAGAGAAUUUGGAAGUGUACUUACAAAGAAAGCAAUAAAUCAAUCUCUUCCAGGUACUCAAUACAUUUACGUCUAUUACAAAUAAGAAAUUAUCAUCAUUUUUUGUUAAAUAUAUCAUAGUGAUUAAUAAGUAUGCAUUUUCUUUAUUAUAGUUGAAUGGUGGAACAACUAUAGCAACGAAGGUCCACAUCUAGAAAAGAUUGCUGUUAAAAUUUUAAGCCAAACUUGUUCUUCAUCAGGUUGUGAAAGAAAUUGGAGUACAUGGUCAUUGAUUCACACAAAGUUGCGCAACCGUUUGGCAAUGAAAAAGUUGCAUAAGUUAGUUUAUGUGCACUACAAUAUGCGACUUCGAGUUAAGAAUUUGAUGCAAAAGCGAAGCAAUGAAGAUUUAUACAAUCCAAUUUAUCUGAAUCAUAUCUUUAAUGAUGAUGAUAUAUUAGAUGAGUGGAUACAAGAAGGAAAGGAGCCCAUUUUAUCAUCUAAUAAUUUGGAUUGGUUUGAUAAAGGUCUUCCCACUAAUGAAGAAGGUAGAGAAAGAGAUGUUGAUUCCCGUCGUAAAAGUAAGGCUUCUAGAACAAUUUCUUCAAGUUCUAGUACUGAUGAUGGUGACAAUGGGGGCAGUAGGCGGGAUGGUGGCACUAGUGGGGGCAAUAGAGGAGUUGGUGGCACUAGUGAGGGUACUAGAGGAGAUGGUAGCAUUGGGGGCGGUUAUGUUAGUCAAGUAUAUCCUGGCAUGUCAUAGGUACAAGGAGGUGAAAAUUACUAUGCCACACAAGAUACAAAUCAUGGAUAUCGACCAGGGAUAUGGGAACAACGAAAGCAUUUGGAAAAACUAACUACAUUUCCAAGCGAUGAUGAUUAUUUUAGUGGGCAUGAUUAUCAUAGAUCAAAUUAUCACCAUAUUGAUGAGCACUUACAAAAUUUGGGUAUAGGAUCAAGGUCGUAUUUCAGAGGGGUAGAUGAUAGAUCAUAUCACAACUUUAGAGACCGUGAUAGCUCUUCCAGUACUUUUAGUAGAAAUGAUUUUGAUCGAUUUCUAAUUAUGCAUCCAGAGGGAUAUUCAAAUACUGGAACACGAGCUAGUGACUCAUAUAGAUAUGAUCAAUCUUAUAGUAGUAGUAGCAUUGCUUAUCGAGGUUUUGGAUACUAUCAAUAUGGUGUUGAUUCCGAGCAGCCUUGAAACCAUAUUUUCUUGAUUAUGGAUCAUCAAGCCAAUCAUCUCAUCCAACAUAUUCGAGUUAUGAACAACUCUUUCAACCAUAUCCUCAUUACGGGAAUUGCCACCCCAAUUUGUAUAUUAUUCGUAGAACUGAUGAUGAUGAUUUUGAACCCCCUUGUCAUUCAACAUGGAAUUGAUUAUUGUAUUGUAUGUUUGUUAGUAAAAAUGUUAUUAUAUUUGAAAUAAAAUAACUUUCUUUUAUUAGCAUUAUCAUAAAUAACUUUGAACAGAUACUUUUAUAACUAUUUAAAUAAUGUUAAAUGUGAGACAUUUUAUUUUAUUAAUUUUUUGAGCUUAUUUAAUUGUAUAUAUUUUCUGAUAAUUUAUAUAAUAUUUUUAUAUUUUUUGAAAUUUCUAAUUAGCUUAUUUUACGUAUCGCCCGAUACCAAAUCGAUACACCGAGACUGAUAUGCCUCGGGACCCUCCAAGUUGGUGACCAAUACCAUGACUUUGAACCAUGGUAUGUUGUAAAGAUGUUCUUCUCGGCCAGGGCCAACACCAAUGCCCCUCAUAACAAUUAAUUAGGAAAAAUUGUGAUCAGAUCAGUCAAGAAGACGCUACUAGAUUGGUGACACUUUUUGCUUCAUUUUCUAUUAUUUUGAAAAUAAAUGUUGUUAUUGUUUCUAGAAUUACCAAAGAAGAAACGUCUUGUUAGAAUGAGGAAAUCUGGUUUGCCAUAAUAACAAUAUCGAUCCCUUCCUUUUUAUAUUACAAUUUCUUCUACGGUACUAAUUGCCACUUAAUUUCAAAUGAAUAUUAGUUUGAAAGGACGGUUUCUUUAAAUAAAAAAAAAUGAAAAAUUAUAAGCAAAAAUAGUCUUUAAAGAGACCUGUAGACCCCCUCUCUGGACCUCUGGGAUUUUUCUUGAUGAUUUAAAAACAAUAGGGCAUUACAUGGCCUGAGGAAGAGGGAAAUACUUCUUUUUUUUUUUAAGUAAGGGGAGGUGACCUCCUUAGGCAGAGAUGAACAGCACGAGACACAUGGCGAGAGAAAAUGACGGCCAUGUUGGUGGUUGAAAACGCCAUGCUUGCUGAGGGAUGAAUAGUGGAGCAAGUGGUGGCUUGCUAAAGAAAACAUAAAUAGAGAUUUUUGAAAAGAAGGAAAAGGAGAAGCGUGGGACUACAAGAGGAAAAGAUGAGGAAGGGGAGAUGAGUCUAGUUUUUUUUUUUUUUUGAGAGAAAAAAAGGAUAGCUGAGGAGAGACAAGAAGGUUGCAUCGUCGACUUCCCGAUAAGGUGCGGUAUGUUUCCAUUUCUCUCAACGUAUUGCUUCACUUUCUACUGAACUAUGAGCAUGGUUUCAUUAUUUGCUGUGGACGUCAAGGGCCACAGGGUUGCUUUUGGUUGAGCAUUCUCAUUUGCUUAAAGUGUUCUAUUUUCAUGGUCUUUCACAUCCUAUAUGCAUGUAGUGCAUGCAUGCAUGGCUACAUGAAACACUUCUCCUCCUACCCUCUCGGAUAUCCAUACACCCAUGUAUACCAAACCCAUCCUUACACUCAUUUCUCACCAUUUCUCUCGUUCAUCCUCAUCACCUAACCAUCUGUACUCCUCCUUGAUACCCCCAGCCACAGCCUCUGCCAUCACAAUGCAACCUCUACUUCUAUCUCCAAGCCCAUUCCUUUCUCCAUACCCAAAUUUCACAAUACCCAUGCAUGUUGCCACAUUUUCUCUCUCUAACCUCCAUACCCAUUUCAUACCCACAUGUGUGGAAACUUUGCAUACCCGGCUGCCCACCAUGCCCACACCUUGCUCAUCUCCAUAGGAACCCUAAAGCCACCCGCUUACAUGCACGGGAACCACGCAUGUAAGCUCUCUCCAUGGUUGUCGUUCAUCAACACCAUCGACAGUCCCUACUUCCCAGCCAGUCCGACCACCACUACCUCAACCAUCUCCAGCUAGCCAUUCUUCGUUCAAGGACCCUGAACAAGGACCCCGUCAAUGCUGACCACGACGAUGAAAUCUCCUUCGUUGGCAAUGCCACUACCGCCGUCGUGGUCGCCCUCCAACAAGCCGCUUGGACCUUCGUGGAAGGCCGAUGUCAGAGGGACGACGCCAACGUCAUGCUCCACUGCAUCUACAGCGCCGUCAAGAAGUCCACCCACACCUAUGUCCGCCGCGUCGGUGGCCAAGUCAUCGAAGCUCCGUUGCUGUUUCCAGUGAAUUCAAACGAAAAGAACGUGGAUGAGUUCAGGCAGGCUAUGAUGGAGAUUGAGGCUUGGGCUUGCUCAUGGCGACAGGCUUGGGCUUGAGUUGGAGCCCAGCCCAAGCAUGUUGAUGGAGAGCCAUGUCAUCUCAAAUAAGUGGGUUGUGAGGGGAAUAGGUGCCUUGGGUUUGCCCAUGAUGGAAAUGGAUUUGGGCUUGAGUUGGAGCACCAGGCUCAAGUUUGUGAUGGAGAUGGGUUUUGGGCUUGCCCAUGAUGGCAUUGGAUAAGGAUUUGAGUUGGAGCACCAGACCCAAGUUUGUGAUGAAGAUGGGUGCCUUGGGCUUGCCCAUGGUGAGGAUAAUGGGCUUGAGUAAGAGCCCAGGUCCAAGCAUGUUGGUGGAGGGCCUCAUGCUCCCCAUGCCAGCCACCCUCAUGGCCCAAGUCCAUAUUAAGUUAGCCCAUUUGGCUACUUCAUUUCUAAAUAAGUUUUAAACCCCUAAUCUUAGUAAUUUAUUAAUUUAUUCAUUCAUUUUUAUUUUUUAUCUUAUUUUAUUUUUACCAAUUUAGUUAGCUCAACUUAAAGACAAUUAAAAGACAAAUCCUUAAGGUUGAAUAUCCUUUUCAAAACUUAAAAUAAUUCGUAUUUUAUCUUCCCUUUUUUAGUCAUGUCCAAUCACCAUAUAUGAAAAUUUUUAUAUAAUUAACUUAUGUUGGACUCGAUGAAUUUACUACGUUCUAAACUUUAAAUCCUAUUUUCAAAACCUAGGUCCUUAAGCAAUUUUUCAAAAAUCCCAUGUCCUAAUUUAAUUUUUCAAUCCUAAAAAUUCUACAAUUCGUUCAAAUCUUAUUUUCAUCAAUUAGAAUUAUUAUUCCAUAUUUAUCUAUUUAUUUAAAGUCUAAUCCUUCAAAAAUCCCAUGUCCUAAUCUAAUUUUUCAAUCCUAAAAGUUUUAUAAUUCGUUUAAAUGUUAUCUUCAUCAAUUAGAAUUAUUAUCCCAUACUUAUCUAUUCAUUUAAAGUCUAAUCCUUCAAAAAUCCCAUGUCCUAAUUUAAUUUUUCAAUCCUAAAAAUUUUACAAUUCGUUCAAAUCUUAUUUUCAUCAACUAGAAUUAUUAUCCCAUAUUUAUCUAUUUAUUUAAAGUCUAAUCCUUCAAAAAUCUCAUGUCCUAAUCUAAUUUUUCAAUCCUAAAAGUUUUAUAAUUCGUUUAAAUGUUAUCUCAUCAAUUAGAAUUAUUAUCCCAUACUUAUCUAUUUAUUUAAAGUCUAAUCCUUCAAAAAUCCAAUGUCCUAAUUUAAUUUUUCAAUCCUAAAAAUUCCAUUAUUCGUCUAAAUGUUAUUUUUGUUAAUUAGAAUUAUUAUCCCAUAUUUAUUUAUUUAUUUAAAGUCCAAUCCUUCAAAAAUCUCAUGUCCUAAUUUAAUUUUUCAAUCCUAAAAAUUCCAUUAUUCGUCUAAAUGUUAUUUUCAUCAAUUAGAAUUAUUAUCUCAUACUUAUCUAUUUAUUUAAAGUCUAAUCCUUCAAGAAUCCCAUGUCCUAAUUUAAUUUUUCAAUCUUAAAAAUUCCAUUAUUCGUCUAAAUGUUAUUUUUCGUUAAUUAGAAUUAUUAUCCCCUAUUUAUUUAUUUAUUUAAAGCCUAAUCCUUCAAAAAUCCAAUGCCCUAAUUUAAUUUUUCAAUCCUAAAAAUUUCACUAUUCGUCUAAAUGUUAUUUUCAUCAAUUAGAAUUAUUAUCCCAUACUUAUCUAUUUAUUUAAAGUCCAAUCCUUCAAAAAAUCACAUAUCCUAAUUAAAUUCUCAAUCCUAGAAAUUUCAUUAUUCGUCUAAAUGUUAUUUUCGUUAAUUAGAAUUAUUAUCCCAUAUUUAUUUAUUUAUUUAAGGUCCAAUUCUUCAAAAAUCCAAUGUCCUAAUUUAAUUCUCAAUCCUAGAAAUUCCAUUAUUCGUCUAAAUGUUAUUUUCGUUAAUUAGAAUUAUUAUCACAUAUUUAUUAAUUUAUUUAAAGUCCAAUCCUUCAAAAAUCCUAUGUCCUAAUUUAAUUUUUCAAUCCUAAAAAUUCCACAAUUCGUCUAAAUGUUAUUUUCAUCAAUUAGAAUUAUUAUCUCAUACUUAUCUAUUUAUUUAAAGUUCAAUCCUUCAAAAAUCUCAUGUCCUAAUUAAAUUCUCAAUCCUAGAAAUUCCAUUAUUUAUCUAAAUGUUAUUUUCGUUAAUUAGAAUUAUUAUCCCAUAUUUAUUUAUUUAUUUAAGGUCCAAUUCUUCAAAAAUCCAACGUCCUAAUUUAAUUUUCAAUCUUAAAAAUUCCACUACUCAUUUUCUAUUCGUUUAAAAUAUUAUUUCCGUUAAAUAGCAUUAUUAUUCCAUAUUUAUUUAUUUAUUCUAGUCGUUAAAGUUUAAUUCUUCAGAACCCGACUUCAAAGUCUAAUUUCCAAUCUCAAAAGUUCCACCGUGCGUAUACCGCCGUUUAAUGAUUAUUCUCGUUAUUAAUGUUAUCCCAUCCAUUUACUUAUUCAGUUAUUCAUAUACCAAAGAUCUCAUCUCUAAACAAAUUCUUAAGUUUUCAAUCUCUAAAUUCACAUCUCCAAUCUCUAAAAUUCUAUUUUUCGCAAUUAUUUACCUAAUCUUUAUUAUUUCACCAUCGUUAUUAUUCCAUUCAUUUACUUAUUCACUCAUCCACUUAUCCAUUCAUUUAAAAUCCCAAACUCUCAAAUCAUUUUCAAAAUUCCAAUCUCGUUCAAAUUCAAUUUCUAAAAUUCUCAUUCUCACAUUCAAUCUCUAAAAGUUUGAUCUUCAAAUAAACUCUAAAAUUCCAAUUUUCCAGUAAUCUUUGAGAUUCCAAUUUUUCAAUUAAAUUUCAAAAAUCCAAUUUUCUCUCAAAUAGUUUUAAUUCCACUCUACGAUCUUCUACUCCCCUUGAUUUCAAUAAGCAUAAAUAAAUUUUUCAUAAUUCUAGAAUAAUGGAAUCUGUGACAAUAAGUCAUGCAAAAUAAACGGGCUUUGGUGGGGGCCCAAUAUGGAUGACUUUAUGACAGAUUGAUUGAUUGUUUGAUUUGAUUAUCAUACAUGAUUGAUUUAUCCUACUCUUUGACAUGCAUGAGAUUAUUCCUAAAUUAUGCACUAACCCUCUCUAUUGAUAGCGCAUGGUGGCUCGUUGACCAGGUAUGUACCCAUUUUCCCUCUAAUCGUUGUCUAUGCAUGUCUCGAUUCUCAUAUGUGCAUGAUUUAUUCUGGGUAUUCAUUGAUUUACUCAUUCAUUGCCAUGAUUGCUUCAAUUUUAUUAGUAGAGACCCGACUUAGGGACUUAGAGGGGUGCUAUGGUUUUUUCCGUACCUUCCUGACAAGUAACCGGACCCCCGAAUUCGAUCCGAUUUUUCGUAGAUCACUUUUUCCAAAAUAAGGAAUCACACUUAGGGUUUUUCUUUCUUAUUUUGUUUACCCUUUUAAAAUAAACAAAAAUAAGUGGUGACUCCAAGUCAUUUUUCUUAAUCAAUAAAACCAUUUUUCAAAAUCCAAAUCAAUCCGCCAUCGAGUGGGAAACGCAUCAGCCGAAAUGCGGGGUCCACAAGACCAUUUGUAAAAAUCUUCAAAAAAAAAAUCCAACCACAAUCGUCUCUUCAAGAGACCACUUUGAAAAAAAUAUAAAAAUUGCUAAAAACCAAAAUUGUCUCUUCAAUCUAAAAAAAAAAAAAAAGAAAAUCCUUAAAAAAAUGCUUUCUUUAAAAAAUAAAAAAAAAAUUGUUUUGCCCAAAAAAUACAAUCUAAAUUUGUCUCUUACAUGUUUUCUUAUUUGGAUAAUAUAUAUAUAUAUAUAUAUAUAUAUAUAUAUAUAUAUAUAUAUAUAUAUAUAUAUAUAUAUAUGAUAUUUAUAACAAGUUAAAAGAUUAAUUUAUAUUUAAAUUAAAGAUAAUCUAGAUAAACAUGAUCAAAUUAAUUUAUAUUUAUAAAAACAUAACCCAAAUUUUUUAAAUCGGUUUUAUUUUCAUCAAUUUAAAAUUAUUUUAAAAUACAUACACUUUUUCAUAAAUUAGAUAAUUAUUUCUUUAAAUCAUCUUUUACUUGAUAAAAUUAAAUAAAACUAUCAAAAAUUAAUUUAUCAUUUUAUGUUAUAAAAGUAUCUUACAAAUAAAUAUAUUAUAAAUUUUUAUUGUAUAAUUAAAGUUACAAAUCAUUGUAAAAAAAUUCUUGAGAUCCUCCCGGGAUAAUGAUUUUAUAUUUUUUUAGUAUAUAAAUCCUCUCAUCUUCUUAUCUUUUUUUCAUAAAACUGAAUAAAAAAUUUUGUUGGUUGACACCAACAAUAAAAUAAUAAAUUUUAAUUUUUUUUGAAAAAAAAAAUUAAAGCUAAAAAUAUGAAAAUAAAAUAUUAACUUUCACUUUGCUUAUAAAGUACACUAAUUGAAAAUAUGGAUAUAAAAAAAGAGAUUAGAAAUACAAUGAGAAUCAAUAUUUUAUUUUUUAAUUUUUAAGUUUUUUGGUUUUAAUUAUAUUUAAUUUUAAUAUUUUAGUUUUAAUUUUUAAAAUAUCUUAUUUUGUUGUUAUUCAAUAUUAUUAAGGACAUUUGUUUCUAUAGGGAAAAAAAAUUCUAAAUCAUGUCGUACAAUUAUUUUAAAAAAGAAGAACUAAAACAAAAAUUAGUUCUUUAUAAUUAAGCAUCCAAUUGUCUACUUGUUAAUUAGUGUUAUUACCAUAACAAAUAAAAUUUUCAUUUUGAAAGAUAAUUAUCUAAUUUAUGAAAAAAUAUAUAGAUUUUUAAAUACUUUUAAAUAGACCAAGAUAAAACUGAUUUAUAAAAUCUGAAAUUCUUUUUUCUAUAUAUUUUCAAAUUAAUGAGUCCCAACUUCUUUUAUAAAAUUAUUUUAUGGAGAGAUAUUACUUUCCAUAGUAAAGUUUUUUUUUUUUAAUUUAUUUCAUCUUUUUACAUUUCUCUCAUAUCUCUUUACCCUGACAUUCCAGACAAUACAUAUUCUUUGGAGCAUUACAAAAACUAUUAGUUUACUUUUAGGUUUUUUUUUUUUUUUUGUCUUGUGAAUUUUUUCCUUUUAAUAUUUCCUCUUUUUUUUUUUAUCCUAAUACUAUUCAUUUUUUAAAUUCGAUUGUAUGUUUUGAGUUAAUUUUUUUGUUUUUAACCUUUUUAAAUAUAUGAAUCAAUAGGGAUUAAUCUUCAUUAAACUUUCUUUUUUCUUGAACUUUUAUAUUAUUGUACACUAAAUCAAAUUUUCACUUCAAUCAUAUUAAUUUUAUAUAAUCAUGAAUAAAUAUUAUAUGGGGCAAUGUUUGUAAUAAUAAUAAUAAUAUAAUUAUUCUUUAUGCAUAUAAGAGAUGUGAUGCUAUAUAAAUGAAAAGUUUACCAAUUAUGACUUUGUAGUUUUUUUUUAAACAAUUAUUUAAGUGGACUACAUGAAUUGAUUAUGAAAAUGUAUAUUUUUUAAUUGUUGUUGGUAGUGAAAAUUUUAUAUUCUCAUUCAUCUAUAACAAGAUUCUUGAAAAGUGUAAGUACAUAAAAUAAAUUUUUAGACAUAUUUAAUAAGAUAUAUUAUUGUAUAUCUUCUUAAUAAUAACAAUGAAUCAUAAGUAGAAUGCAUUUCUUUAAUACCACUUAAGGAUACAAAUAUUUUGGUAAUGAUACAUUAUUUUUUUUUGUAUUUUUUUUUAUUAUAAUCAAGUCAAACAUUUGGUUUAAUUUUAUUUAUAUUUAAACAAUAUAUUUAAGUGACUUAUGAGUUGAAUAUGAAAACUCAUAACCCAAAGUGUUGUUAGUAGUGAAAAUUUUAUAUUGUCAUCGUUUCAACUAUGAUUUGUGCACCAUUUGAAAUGUUGAAUUCCUAACUUCUUAAGUUUGGAAAGAUAUGUAGCUUGCCUUAAAUGCCUUCCAAGAAGUGGUAUAGAAUUCAAUGCGAAGUCAAAUGUGCUAUAACUACUUUUGUUUGAGUUGAAUCUUCAUUUUAACUUUGAAAUGAGACCUCAAAACUUCUUCCUUCAUGGCUUCUUGCGCUCUAACUCUCUCCAUAAUAUUUAUUCCUAAUAUUUCAUGCUCAUGAAUCACUCAUUUCACUGUUGUUUGGAUUCCUCAAGGUUCACAAGUCUCAAGUCUCUCAUUCAUGCAUAUUUAACUCAUUCAUCUUCCUUGGUUGAACUUGACACUUGUAACUUGUAUUUUUUUUUUCUCUUUUGAACUUGAAAUUAAGCUCAAAGUAUAUGUUAAAUCCAUAACUAGAACCUUAGCACCAAUUCAAGUUAACUUGAAUAAUUUGAGUCUUUUAUGUUGCAUAUAUCAUAUCAUAUAUGUGCUAUUAGAGCACAUAUUUUUGCUCCAAUUAAUACCAAUGCCCACAACAAUGGAAGAAGCCUCCUUCAUAGAGCACACAUUGACAACUUUUAUAUCUUUCAUUGAACAUAAAUUGAUAAAACAUUGAUUUUUUUGUUUCUUGUUGAUUUAUUUGUAUUGAUGAUGCAUGCAUGUUAAUAUUUUGUUGGUUAUUAGAUUAUUUAUAUUGAUGAUAUAGGUUGAUAUGUAGUUUGUUAGCAUUGAAGUUACCAUUAAUGAUGUUGAAUUUUAAUAUUGUAAAUUUGUUGGUAUUUGGUUGAUAUUUUGUCGGUGGUUUGUUACUUUAUUUAUAUGGAUAAGGUAUUAGUUUUUUUUGUAUUCAUGAUAGUAGUUGAUAUUUGAUCAUUUGGUAUUUGAAGACAUUUGAUUGUUUAGGAUUGAACAUAUUAAUACUAUUGGUUGAUAUUUUUUUAGUUGUUCGAUGCUUGUUGGUUUGUUAGUAUAUAUUCAAAUAAACAAGAUAAUUGGUUUUUCUAUAUUCAUGAUGGUAGUUGAUCUUUGAUCCUUUAAUUAGUAUUGAAAACAUUUGAUUGUUUAGGAUUAGAUAUAUAUCCAUACAAGUUAUUUGAUUGAUACUUAUUGAUUGUUGGGAUGUAUGAAGUAUUUUUAUGGACAAGAUUAUUGAUUUCUUAUAUUCAUGAUGCUAGAUAAUCUUUGAUUCAUUAUUAUUCAAAACAAUUGGUUAUUUAGGAUUGAACAGAUCAAUAUAUGUUAUUGGUGUUUUAUAUUCAUAAUAUAAUGUAUUGAAAUUGUAAAGUUGUUAUAAGUUGGAUUUAGGUUUCUUUUUUUUUCUUUUUUUUAAAAAAAAUGUUUUCUUUAUUUGAACAAUCCCUUUGAAACCUAUCAUACUAAAAAUUUAGAUAAUUUUAUUUUUCAAUAAUUAAAAAUUGAAUAUUUUAUUUCCCUCAAUUUUUCUUAAUAAAAAUAGAUUUUUUUAAUUCAAAUAAAUAAAAUUUGAAAUAACUUAAUUUUUAAUUAUUUUAUUUCCUUUAAUUUUUUUUCCUAAUAAAAAAUUAUUAACCAUUAUUGGAAUAAUUUAAAAUUAAACAUUUAUUUCCCUUGAUUUUUUUCCUAAUUAAAAAUGAUUAACCAUUACUAAUUUUAAGUGUAUUAUAUUAUUUAUAAACAAAUAUUAAAAAAAGAGCAAAGAGCUUACUUAUGGUCAUGGAAGAUGUCAUCUCAUUUUCUUUUUGUCAAAUUACCUUAUUUCUUUAUCAUUUAUAAUUAAUAAAUACAAAUUUUAAUAUACAAAAUAAUUAAUAUUUUAUUUUAAAUUGAAUAAUAAUUAAAAAAAUCCUUUAAUCUUGAAUAUUAAUUUGUAUCAAUUAAAUAUAAAUAUAAGAAGUGAAUUCAUUUUUCUAUAUUUUUAUUCCUUUUACGAUUAAUUUAACUUAAAAUAUAAAUAUUUUAAAUUUUAAUUUUUUUUAUAAAAUUAAUUUAAAAAUUAAAACAAAAUAAAAUUAUUCAUUUAAAAAAAAAUAAUUCAAUACACUAGAAAAAAGAAAUAGAUAAUAAUUUUUUUUUUAAAACUCAAAUAAAAUAAAAUUUAUAAUAGAUUUAUUUUUUAAAACUAAAAAAAAAUCCAUAAUUUAUUUAAAACAUUUUAUUUUUAUUUUUUUUUAAAUUUUAAACAAUUUCUAUGACAAGUUAAAUAUAAUAUAACUUAAUGUAAGGUAAUCACUUAUAAUAAAAUUUAAAUUUUAUUUAUGUUUAAGAUUCUAAAUUGAUUGAAAAUAAUUGUAAUUCAACUAAAAAUCACAUAAAAGAAUAUUAAGAAGUAAUGUGACCCUAAAAGGGGUAAAAAGGUAAUAAAUAACUUUUUAAAAAAUAUUAAAUAGUUAUUAUAGAAAGAACNNNNNNNNNNNNNNNNNNNNNNNNNNNNNNNNNNNNNNNNNNNNNNNNNNNNNNNNNNNNNNNNNNNNNNNNNNNNNNNNNNNNNNNNNNNNNNNNNNNNNNNNNNNNNNAGGUAAUAAAUAAUUUUUUAAAAAAUAUUAAUUAUUUAUUAUAGAAAGAACAAAAGAGUAUAAAACUAAAUUAAUUUCUAUUUUUAAUAAUAAUUAAUUAAAUUAAUUUAAAGAUCAAAUUUAAGAUUAAGACCAAAAUAUUUUUUUAAUCAAUAUCUAAUUUAAUAUAAAAUAUUAUUUUUUUAAUAUGAGAUGGUGAUCAUAAUUUAUACUUUUAUAAUUAUUAUUAUUUAUAAAUAAUAUAUCUAUAAUAGUUAUAAUUAUUUUUAUAUAAUGAAUUUAGUAUAUAAAAUUAAUUAAUUUUAUAAUACAAAUAUUUAUUAUAAUAUUAUUAUUAAAAGACAUUACCAGUUAAAAAUGUUAUUAAAAAUAAGAAAAUAUGUUAGAGAUGAAUUUAGCAUUGUAUUUUUUUUGGAGAAAACAUUUUUUUUUUUAAAAGAAAUCAUAUCUUUAAGAAAUGAAUUUUCUUUUUAAACAUUUUAAAGAUUUUUCCUAAGCAAAAUCGUCUCUUCAAUAGACAAUUUUUGGUUGGAAUAUUUAUUUUUAUUUUUUUUAAGAAUUUUUAGAAACCAUCUCUUCAAGAAACAAUUUUUGUUUAUACUUAAAAAAUUGUCUUCUCCAAGAUACAACUUUUUAUUCAUUUGUCAAUUAUGUGGCAACUCUUACCUUAAUUAGUUCCUUGCUUAUAUGGCUAAAAUGACGGUAGUUUUGAAAAUAUUUUUUUUACCACAGUAUUUUACAAAUUAUUUUUAAUAUGUCGUGCAAUUAUCAUAAAAUCAAGAAAGUUGGAUGUUGUGAUAAAAGCUGCCAAUGUCNNNNNNNNNNNNNNNNNNNNNNNNNNNNNNNNNNNNNNNNNNNNNNNNNNNNNNNNNNNNNNNNNNNNNNNNNNNNNNNNNNNNNNNNNNNNNNNNNNNNGAUAAAGCUGCCAAUGUCUAAACUCAUAAAAAUAUGUCAAACCCUUUUAGAAUUGGGUUUGAGAUUUGUCAUAGAAGCAAUCACAUAAGUCUCAACCCUAAUUACCGUUAUAUUUUUAUUCUUUAUUGUAAAACACCUCCUCCGAUUUCAACCUUUCCUCCUUUGUAUAAGUUGUUCUUUAAGUAACUAUUCUUCUUUUUCUGAAUGCAUGCUUCAACCUUUAAUCCCGCUAGAUGUAUAUGCCACGGCUUCUUUUACUAAGGACCUUGGCAUGCACCAGAUAAUUAAAGAAUUCUCCAUCUCUCACAAAAAUCAUAGCCUAAAAUUUGGUUUUAAUGGAGUUUUUUUAUUUUUAUUUUUUGUUACCUAUAGUGUUUAUGUUGGAAACUAUCUCAAAUUUUAUUUUGAGUUAAUUUUAGGUGAUGUACUUGGGGUUUUGAGAUUUGAGAGUUCUAAGACUAUAAUCUCUUUGAAUAGCAACAAAAAUUCUUCUUUAUCUUCAUUUCAUGGAUAUAGUCUUUAGGUCAAAUCAUGUAAAUCGGUGUAUGCUUAAUGUGUCUUCUAUUUUUGUUUUCUUAUUUUCUUCUUUGUUAUUGUUCUUUGUCAUUGUUUUUCACAAUAAACUAGUAUUAAAGUUUAUGUUCUUAGCUUGGAAUGACAACAAAUUUUGAGGUAAUUGAGAAGUUUGAUGGAAGAAAUGAUUUUAGUUUAUGACACAUUAAGAUGCAUAUUUUGUUGGUUCAAUAGAGGUUAUCCAAAGAACUCAAAGGUUGAGAGAUUCUACCAACAAUGAUGUCUGAUGAAAAUAAAUAUGAACUUUUUAUAGAAAACAUAUAAUGUUAUUAUUCUAUUGUGUUUAAGUAAUAAGGUAUUUUAUAAGAUUACAGAAUAGGGUAAGCUCCCCAGCUAUGGUUGCAGUUAAAAAGUUUGUGUAUAAUAAAGUCUCUUAUAAAUUGUUUGUAUUUGAAAAAGUGAUUAUUCACUCUCAAGAUGAAAGAAGGUACAUUCAUUAAAUACUAUCUUGAUAUGUUUAAUAAAAAUAUUAUAAAUUUAAUAAAUAUUGAUGUUAGAAUUGAUAAUAAAAACCAAACCUUAAUUUUGAUAUGUUCUUUACCAAAUUCUUAAAGGAGGAAAAAGAGUGUCCAAGAGAAGAGAAGAAAGCUCAAGUAAAGCUUUGGUGGCUAGAGAAAGAAAAGGGAAAAAAAUGUAGGAAAUGUUGAUCCAAAUAUAAAUCAAGAUCUAAGGGAAAUAAUAAAUGUUUCAAUUGCAACAGAGAAUGACACUAUGUGAGAAAUUAUACAAAACAUUAAGAAAAUGAAAAUGAAACAACUUCUAACCUUGGUGAUGUGGUAGUUUAGAAGAAAAUUUAGAUGCUACAAAUGGCCCUUCAAUUACUGUUGGUAAUAACUCAAUAAUGAGUGGAUCUUUGAUUCAAGGUGCUCUUAUGUUAUGUCUCCUAAUAAGGAUUGAUAUAGUACCUACCAACUUAUAGAUGAUAGGAAUGUUUUUAUGGGAAACAACGUAGCCUCCAAAGUUGUUGGUAUAAAUUCAAUUUGAAUUAAUAUACAAGAUGCAUGACAUUGUAAAAAUAAUAACUGAUAUAAGAUAUAUUUGAGAGUUGAAGAAAAAUUUAACUUCUUUGGGGACACUUGACUCUAAUGGAUCUACGUAUAAAAUUGAAAAUAGAGUUAUGAAAAUUUUAAAGGGUGCCCUUAUUAUGAUGAAAAAGAAAACAAAAAAUAAUGGUCAUUAUAUAUUAUAGGGUAGCACGAUUACAAAUGCAAUUGUAGUUUCCACCUCAGAAUUGAUUUCAAGGACUACCAUAUUAUGGCAUAUGCAGUUUGAACAUAUGAGUGAGAGAGGGUUGACAAAUUGGAGCAAAUAAGGUUUGCUUCACGGAUAGAAAAUAGAAAAAAUUAGGGAUUUAUUUGUUAACAAUUCUCAAAAACAUUUUUUAGGAAAAAAAAAAUAGAAGGCUCAAUUCAAUUUUUUGUCCGUAAAAAUAUAAAAUAAGGUGUUUUAUUGAUAACAUAUUUUAGUUGUUUUCUAUUAUUUUUAUUUGUUUUAUGGGGAUUAUUUUAAAAAAUAAUAUGACAAAUAUGAAGAAUAAUUGAAAAUAAACCACUACAAAUAAAAUUUGUUUUUAAAAAAUAUUUGAAAACAUAGAAAAGAAGUGGAAAACAUCAUGAAAUUUCAUUCUAUGAAACAUCAUAGAUUAUUUUUUAAACUAUUCUCAAAAACUGUUUUUUGCAAAUCAUUUUAAAAAAUGUUCCUAAACAUAUCAUCAAUUUUUGUAAGCAUUUUGAAUUUGGAAAACAAUGCAAGAUAAAUUAAGUUCAACUAGAUUUUUAAUAAUACGAAUAUGAAAAAUAAUUAAAAAUGAAACACUACAUAUAAAAAUUAAUUUUUUUAAGCAAAAAACACAUGAAAACAUAGUUAAUGAAUUAAAUAACAUUGGAAGUUUCCAAACAAACUUUUUAUUUUAUAAAAUAUUAGAUCACUGUUAUCAAAAACUAUUUUUAAAUAACCAUUUUAAAAAACAUUUCCAAAUAUAUCCUAAAUUUUUGUAAGCAUUAUUUGUUUGGGAAACAAUGCAAGUGCAUUGAAUUUUUAAAAGUAUUUAUUUUAAAGGUUAUUAUUUAAAUAAAAAAUCCAUGAAGAGGAACAUCUCUAGGGAUGAUAUGUUGAUGGAUAAUUUUCUCUUUAAUAUUAUAAAAAAAUUUCAUUAAAAGGAUGUAAAAGGAUAAGUGGGUGCACAUAUAGAACUCGGAUAGAUUUUCUCUCUUUGGGUUUAAUCCUACAUCAUGUCAAAAGAAAAUAUUUUCCCUCAUUUAUGGUCCGGCGUCCUGGACCGACCGAACCAAGGCCUUAUUCAACACAAGUUGACAUUGCUGUGCGAUUAUUUAUGAUAAUAUAUAACACUAUUUUUAAAUAAAUAAUUACAUUUUCUCUCACUAACUUCCCAUUGAGAAUGAAUUUUUAUGUUUAUCUUCUACUUAGAUCAAGCAUUUAACAUGAUGAAUCAAUACCUGCUAUUAAUUAAUCUCUUGGAUCCUUACUCUAUGCACCAAAUCCUUAUUUUUAAUUAGAGAUCCAUUUGCUUGACAUCCUUCUUCAAUUAUGACAGUUUUGACUUUCUAUUUAUAAUAAUGCUCAUAGUGUUCUAUCAAAUUAGUCUCUCUGUCCACAUUGGUAAUUUAGAAUGCCAAGUCCAAUUUGGUAUGGCCUCGUGGCAUCCCACUGUGAUUCCAUCAUGAUGGUUUUAUAUGGACGUUUUACAUCAAUCUCCUUCAUUGUAGGCGACACUGCCGCAUCCAACACCUAGCCCCUUUCAUACCUAUUUAUAUUCACGCAUUCACACAUGGUGGCCCAAGUUCCAACUCCAGAUUUAUAUAGCUUGUGUGUUUUUUGUGAGUUUCUCCAACGACUCUGCUGGUUUGCUUUGAGACUCAGACAGCGGCGGCCAUGGCUACGAGCGACGUGAAGCUAUUGGGUGCGUGGCCAAGCCCAUUCGCCUUGCGAGUCCACAUCGCCCUUAACAUCAAAUCCAUUGACUACGAGUGUCUCGAAGAGAACCUGCUAGCCAAGAGCCAGCUCCUCCUCCAAUCCAACCCAGUACACAAGAAAGUCCCAGUUCUCAUCCACCAUGACAAACCCAUAUGCGAGUCCCUCGCCAUUGUUCAGUACAUCGACGAGGCUUGGUCCUCCGCUCCCUCCAUCCUCCCCUCAGACCCUUACGACCGCGCUGUUGCCCGCUUCUGGGCUGCUUAUAUUGACGACAAGGUUUGCCUAUUUCUUCUUGUUGAGUCACUCCAACUGUGUAUUUCAGUAAGGCAUGGUUCGGAAUUCUUCUUUUCUAAUUUUUUUUUUCAUUAUUAUUAUCAUAAUAUUUUUCAAAUGGAUGCAGUGGUUUCCAUGGCUGAAUGGGGUAGCGAAUGCUCAAGGAGCGGAGGCAAAAAAGGCGGCGUUGGAUCAAGUACGUGAAGGGUUAGUGGUACUGGAGGAGGCGUUUGGGAAGUGCAGCAAAGGUAAGGAUUUCUUCAGCGGGGAUCGAAUUGGAUACGUUGAUAUUGCUCUAGGGUGCUUCUUGGGGUGGGUGUAUGUGGCGGAGAAGAGGAACGACGUAAAGCUGCUUGUUGAAGACAAGAUGCCUGGUCUGGCUGCAUGGGCAAACAAGUUUUGUGAGGAUGGUACUGUGAAGGAUGUGAUGCCAGACAAAGAUGAGCUAUUGGAGUUUGCUAACAUGAUCCUCGAAGCCAGGGCCAAACUCAAUGCCUCUUCUAAUAAUUAAUUAGGACAAGCUGCGAUCGGAUCAAUCAGGAAGACGUUACUGGAUUGUUGACCAUUCUUGUUCCUAAUUCUGAUAUUUUGAAAAUAAAUCUUGCUAAUAUUUCUGGAACAAAAGAAGAAAAAUAUUAAUAUUGAAUCCUUCCUUUUUACUCUCUGCUAUUUUCCUUAUGUAUUCAUAUGAUUCUCUAUUUAGAUAGGAUUUAAAUGCAUACUCUAUCCUAUGGAUUGUCAUAUUGAAUAUAUCGUGUACACAGAAGGAAAAUGUAUUGGAUAUAUUCAACUAAAAAGGAAAAAUGUUUUUGAAAGAGAAAUUAAUCCCUUUCCAGAAUUGGGCUUGGAGUCUUGUACACAGAAGAAAGCCUCGGUGGUCUCAACCCCUAAUGUCUGUUAUACUUUUCUUCUUUAUGUAAAACUCCUCCCAUUUCAACCUUUCCCCGUACACUUAUUUUUUCAAAUUCAGCUUUAAGUAACUAUUCUUCUUUUGAUUGCACGCUACAUCCUUAAUGCCACCCGGUGUGAAUGCAGCAUCCCUUUUGAUUAAGACCGGAGUUUGGACAGAAGUAUCAUUUUUAUUUUUAAAAAAAAACAUUUAAUAAAAUAUGAAAGUUUUGAAACUAUUCUAAAUCGGAGACAUUUUUUAUGACACCAAUUGAAAUUCGUUUUUUCAUAACACAACUUUCAGUUGGAUUCUUUUAAAAUGUUAUAGAAUUGAAAUUUUUUUUAAAAUUGUUAAACGAUGUUUGGUUCCUGAAAUAAAAAAUUAUUAAGAAAAAUAAUUUUAUUUGGUUUUACUAUGAAAAAUAUUAAAAAUAAUAAUAAUAAAUAUAAUUAAAAUUAUUAAAAAUUUUCUAUAUUUUAAAAUUAUUUAAUCAUUAUAUAAAAGAGUAAAAUAAGUUAAAAGAGUUUUAAAUAAUAUAUAAAAAAAUUUAUUAAUUUUAAAUUUAUUUUUUGUCUUCUUUGAUUUUUAUUUCUUUUAUUUUUUUCUCUUUAUUUUAUUUCUCUGGUAUUUUAAAAUAGCCUAUAUUUUGAUAGCCUAUAUUUCUUUGAUUUUCUUCUUCAAGCUUUUCGAGAAUCAAAGAUAGCCUAUAUUUUAAAAUUCUACUUUUUCUUUCAAUUUUCCUUGGGACCUUGGUUGCUUACACUUGAUAAUUUGUUGAAGAAACCUUUUUCUGCCACAAAAAUCAUACUCUUGAACCUAGCUUUAAUGGAUGUUUUUCUUACUUUGUUCUGUAGUGUUUCUAGGAUGAGUCAAAGAAGCAAUGGACACCGAGGAAUUCUGUAUGUCUGUUCCUAUUGUCGUUUCUUUUGCCGACUAAAUGUUCGAAUCUUAAUCAUUAAUUCAAGCACCCCUCUAUUGAUACCUUGGUAUAGCACAUUGGACAGCUCCAUGGAAUUCUCCCUAAAGGUUGGGCAAAGUCACCAAAUCCAAACCAAGAAAUUGGACCCAAUUCAAUCGAAUCAAGUCGGGGCUUUUUUGUCUUUUUCUCCUUUUUUUUUUUUUUCUCUUUUCUUGUUUUUUAAUUUCUUUUCCUUUUUGUAAUUUUAAAUUUACUUAAUUAAUUUUAAUUUCAAUCCACUUUACAUGUUAUCAAUUUUUUUAAACCAAUUGAAUCCACUAUACAUGUUUGUUUUUUUUUUUUUUUCACAAGCACAACCAGUAGCCGCUAACUCAUUUCUCUUCAUCCAUAACCUACACAUUAUCCUUUUUUUUUUUUUUUUAAUUCUUAAGCAUAGUAUGAUAAUGUUUAUUAUUUAAAUUUUAUGAUAAAUUUGAAUAGAAAUGUGUGGACCCAACUUUGCCCAUACCAAAUAGGGAUGGCAAUUUUGUGGGCUACUUGGGUAACUCACCCCGAUGGGAAUAGGUAUAAAAUAUAAAAAUCGGGUAUAGAUCGGGUUUGAAGAUAUUUUAAAAACCUAAAUCGAGUUUGGGACAGGUAUGGAUUUUGUCCCAACUUGCCCUACUUUGCCUUGAAUACAAAUUUAUGAAAUUAUCCUUUAACUACUACUAAAAUGCCAAAAAACUCUCAAUAUUUAUAUACUUCAUUCUUCACAUUUGCCUUAAUUUCAAUGGUCACUUCUUCUUCUUCUUCCUCCAAUGCACUGCCUGAAAUCCUAUUUCCAAGAUCAAUUUGCUUCUUCUUCCUCCCUCACACCAACUAAAAGACUCCAAAAUCAAUUCCAUGUUGCUCUUGCUUUAGCCUUAGCACCCAAAACUCCUCUAUCGCGACAUCAAACUGGUCAUAAGUCACAUUGUUCAUAUCCACUACUCAAUCGUACCCAUGUUGGCAUCUUCAAGCUUCCCUAAUCUCUUUACCUUAAAUAUGUGCAAGGCAAUCAUUUCGAGCAUCGCUUGAAGUCUUUGUUCAAGAGCACAACUCAAGAGGAACGCGAAAGCCUUUGAAGUAGUAGAUUUGAUUAAGUCUUGGUUCACAGAUUAGCUUGGAGAGGGAUCCAAAUCCAUGGUUCAUGUUGACCCAUGUUCCUAUUUGAUCAGUGUUCAUUUUUUUCUCUUGUGAAUUAUUAAGAUGAUUUUUAUUUUUACUUUUUUGUGUUUUGCAUUAAUUUUUAAUCAUUUAAGCUAACUAUGGGCUUAAGAUUAUUGAUUGUUAUGAUGUUAAUUUUGGUAUAUUAUCAAAAUCUCAUUAUUUUGUCGUGAAAGAAAAGUGAAUUUAGGUAUGAUGUCCACUCAUUACUAGUUAGGGUUAGGGCUUAAUGCACAUAUGGGAAGGGGUGGAGAUGGGGUUAUUAAUCCUUUUGUUAAGGGGGAUGGGAACCAAUCAAUUUGUCUCAACAUGGGUUUGUACAAGGAAUAGGAGAUAACUGUGUAAUCGGGGGUGGGAAUGGGAUAGGAGUGACCCAUCCCAAACCCGCCCUAUUGUCAUCCCUAAUACCAAAUUAACCAAGCUAACCCAAAUGAAUAAAUAGUAAUCAGGUUGGUUUGAUCAAUCAAUUCAUCUUAAUAUUCCAAUUGAUUAAAAACCGACUUAAAUUGAACCAUAUACCCAUUUUAAUUUUCAUGUACAGUACCAUCCAAUUUAGGUGGAUGACUUGACAAAUAGACAUCACAAGCAUUACUUUUCAACUCUUUGAACUUUAUUAUAUUUGAAAACAAUUUGGUAUUGAGCAUUCCCUGUAAAUUGUGCAUAUUCUCGUAGUAAUAACAUAUUUUACUCAUAUAAUUUUGUUAAAGAAUGAACCAUUUUCAUUAUUACUAUCACAAUUAUUAAAACUAGGUCCGUUUGUCUAAGACUCAACUUUGAUAACUCCAAGUAAAAUUAUGAUCCCCAUGAUAAAAUAAAUUCAAUAAAACAACAUCUAAAACUAUACUAUUUUUCAUUUGUUCGAAUUUGUCUUAUUGUAUUAUUCUAAGUGUUACUAAGCCUUUACGAAAUUUGGUAUAAUAAGACUAAGAAUGAAAAUAUUGGUUUUGACAGACAUAACAGGAAUAUCAGAGUGAAAAUUGAAUAAACUCAUAAAAUUUUUGGAAAAACUCUAAAAAUAUAUAUAUGUAAAAUAAUAAUAGAUAUUUUGAAGUUGUUUUGUUAAAAAAAGUUAAUAAAUAUAUGAUAUAAUUUAUUAUAUUUGAUAAUAAUAUCAUGUGAGUCAAUAAGAAAUAUGAAUUUUAUAAGUACACAUUCAGUAUUAAGUUACAUUAAAUAUUAUUCAAUAAUAAUAUUGUGACAUUUGAUUAUAAUAUGUCUAAUUUUCAAAUAUAUUUAAUAUUAAAAUUAUAUUUCAUUUAAUUCAAAUAUAUUCAAUGACAUAAAAUAAGAUGAGAUAUAUAUAUAUAUAUAUAUAUAUAUAUAUAUAUAUAUAUAUAUAUAUAUAUAUAUAAUUCUUUUAAAUAUUUAUAUUUUUUAUUUAAUUAAAUAUAAAUAAUAUAAAAAACUAUUAAGAAAAUUGUCAAGAUAGUUUUUAUAUUUUUUGUAAUCAAUUAAAUGAAAUUUAAAAAGAAAAUAAUUAAAAUUUAUUUAUUUAUUAAAUCUUCUUUUAAUAUUUUGUUUUUAUGAGUAACUUUAAUAUACAUAUUUUAGUGCAUGUACAUAAUUAAAAGGCAAACUUGCCCUAAUGGUCACCCAGGAUGUUGUGAAAACAAAAGUUAUUUGACAGAGAUUUUUUUCAUCCUUGACUAAGACCAUGCUUUGUUCAACUUUGGAGAAGUCAAAAGCUUUUAUUUUUUUAUAAAUUUCAAUAAGAAUUUUUAUACUUGUUAAGUUAAUUUUCUUUAAAGAAUUUAUAACUUAAAAACAAAAAAAAAACAAAAAAAAAAAAAAAACCUUAAUAUGAAAGUAAAAAAAAUGUUGUUUCGUUGACUUCAACUUCAGUAUCCAAUUAAAGCUAAAAAUAAGAAAUUAUCUUGAUUGUGAAUAAAAACAACUUUAUUGAAAGCUUAAUAUGAAGGGCUUGGGUAUCUAUGUAAAUGAUAUUUUGUAUAUCUAUAAUGUGAAGAGAUCACACAUUUCUCAUGAAUGGUAUUUGUCGCUUCAUUUGGGUAUGAGUUUCUUUAUCACUAGGGCACCUUUGACCAACAAAGACCUUGAUCGAGGUACCAUUGUUGUGUCUGGAAAAUGGGAAUUUGGAGCUUCUAAGCAUGAAGGGCUUCCUAGGGUCUCUAGAAUUCAUGAGGCAUCAAGUUUUCUCUUUUUCUUGAUAUUAGAUGUUUUUCUUUUUCCUCAUCUUUUCUUUUAAUUGUUUCUUUUUGUUUUAGUGGUAGAGGACAUUGAGGUCUUGAGAUUGAAAAUUCCUGUUAAGAAGAAAUUUCUAACUAUUCAAGAUUGAUUGUGUUUUUCACGAUCAACAAAUCUUAUUGAAACCUUCUUAAUUGUAUGCCACAUUUAUCUCAUUGAUUUUGAUAUCACCUAGUUGCUACAUUUCUUUUUUCAAGUUUGAAGGUCAAGCACCUUUUGAAAAAAAAAAAAAUUAUUGCCUCCUUCACCAACUACAAUAGAGCAUUUAAAAAAAAAAACACAAACAACUUUCCCUUAAGUAGUCAUCCUUAGAGAGGAAGUCUCAAAAUAUUAGUUUUAGUACGGGUGACUCAAUUAGGUCUCCUACAGCUUACAGCGUUUAUUGUAGGGUUCACUCUAGUAACAGGGUGACUAGGUCUUCUUUAGGAGUUAUUAAGGGCAAUCUAAUAUCAUUUAAUUCCCCAAUUGAGUAUAGGGGAAAGUUUGGGAGGGUUCUACCAAAUAUGAGACUUUUAGAUUAGCUAUUAGCCCAUCCAAGGUACCCAAUUCGGAUGAAUAUCCAUACCUAGAGAAAUCUUUUGUUAAGUCUCCUUCACUUUCCCAUAUAGGCUUGGAGAAAGGGAAGACUUUAGUGUUUGGGGUUAAUGUUAUGGGUGAAGACUUACUACCUGCUUUAUGGGUGAAGACUUACUACCUGCUAUUGAGGUUGUGAAGAGAUAACAGGUUAUUGCUAUCUAGUUAUGAAAUUAUUUACACUGUUUACCUAUUAGUUACACAUUGUUAGAAGUAAUUAGAUACAAAGAGGGUUAUUUAAGUUGUAAAACUUUGUUUUCUCAUUAAUAUGAAAUACCAUUUUAUCAAUUCUAAUAUGGUAUCAGAGCCUUAAAUGGCUGGAGAGAAUUCAUUUUCUUUUUUGUUGGAGAACUCUCCUUCCAUGGAGAACUUUGUUCCAGUUGUAUUCGCACACUCAUUGUCAAUCAAAUUAGAUGAUAGCAAUUUUCUUCUUUGGAAACAGCAAGUUGGAGUUGUAAUACGAGGUCACAAACUGCAAAAAUUUAUUCUGAAAAAUGAAAAUCAACCAGAAAAGUUUCUUACGGCUGGAGAUCAUGUUCAAGGGAAGAUAAAUCCAGAGUGUCUUGACUGGGAACAACAAGAUCAACUAUUCUUUUCAUGGCUACUCUCUUCAAUGACAAAAGUGAUGCUCACACGAAUGGUUAGGUGUGAAACUUCCCAUCAGAUCUAGAAAACUCUCGAGGUGUUCUUUGCCUCACAAACCAAAGCUAAGAUAUCUCAGUUCAAGACUAAGCUCCAGAACAUAAAAAAGGAUGAUCUACCGGUAAAAGAUUAUCUGUUAAAGAUUAAAUCCCUAAUUGAUCAGCUAGCUUCUGUCAGAUAUAUUGUUACAACCAAAGAUCAUAUAGAUGCAAUCUUUGAUGGAUUGUCUUUCGAGUAUGAUACAUUUGUUGUUUCGGUGAAUUCAAGAAAUGAUUCGUAUACAGUCGCAGAGAUUGAAUCAUUGUUGUUAGCACAAGAAAACGGGAUUGAAAAACAUUCUAAGGAGCUUGAUUCAACAAAUCAAAUGAAUAUAGCGAAGAUUUCUAACAAUCAACAGCCCCGUAAAAAGUUUAAUGGAGGACAAGGUGGUUUUCAACACAAUUUUACUGGACAAGGUAAUUACAAAUCUAAAAAUUUCAAUCCUACUUCUGGCAGAAAAAAUUAAGUAAAUGGAAGAAGUGGUAGGCAACAAUGGAAGCCACAAUACCAGUUGUGUGGUAAAAUUGGGCAUGUAGUUGGAAAAUGCUACCACAUGUUUGAUCCAACCUUCAUUCCAAUUCAAUUUUAGCAGAAUACAACUCCACAAUUGCCUGCCCAGAUGGCUACUAUGGUGGUUAUUCCUAAUGUUGUGACAGAUAAUACUUGGUGUGCCGAACCUGGUGCAACUAACCAUUGUACAUCGGAUCCCAAUAAUCUCAUUAUACAAGACACAUAUGUAGGAAAUGACCAAAUUCAUAUGGGAAAUGGUACUGGUCUUGAAAUUCAACACAUUGGUUAGUCAACUUUUCCUUCUCAAUUUUCAUCUAAAUUUCUAGUUCUAAAAUAGCUUUUUCAUGUCUCAUCCAUUUCAAAAAAUCUUUUGAGUGUCUCUAAAUUUGCUCAUGAUAAUAACGUGUUCUUUGAGUUUCAUUCUAAUCAAUGUUUUGUUAAAGACCAGGUCACAAGAACUGUCAUACUGCAGGGUAAAGUAACAAAUGGACUGUAUGUUUUUGAUAGCUCAAGCAUUCAACUCCAGCCCCAAUCACUCUAGUCCUCGUCAGCUUAUCUUGUUCCAUGCUUUCUUAUAAAUCCAAAAUGUAUGUAUGUAUAAGCUGCAACAACAAUCUCUAAUGCUUCAACUGAUCUUAUUUUUCAACUUUGGCAUAAUAGGUUAGGCCAUCCUAAUGCUAAAGUGAUUCAAAAAGUCUUGUCUCUUUGUAAUAUUCCAAUAAUCAAUAAAGACUUGCCUGAUUUUUGUAAUGCUUAUUGUCUAGGAAAGCAUCAUAAAUUUCAUUUUCUUGAUUCUACUACUGAGUACACUAAACAUCUAGAACUCAUACAUUCAAACUUGUGGGGAUCUUCCCCUAUUUUGUCUUCUAAUGGCUAUAAAUACUAUGUUCACUUUGUUGAUUCAUUUUCUUCUUCCACUUGGGUUUACCUACUCAAAAAUAAAUUUGAUGCCCUGCAAACAUUUAUUAACUUCAAAACUCACGUAGAGUUACAACUAGGUUGUUCUAUCAAGAAAAUCCAAACUGAUUGGGGUGGUGAGUACCAAGCUUUUACAAAUUAUCUUGAGUCUAAUGGCAGAAUUCACUAAGUUGCUUGUUCUAGAACCCAUGAACAAAAUGGUCUUGCUAAACGCAAAUGAUUCGUGCCCAAUUGGUGUCUUAGCUGAUUCAUGUCUAGCUGGUACUCCUUGAUUGAGGGAGUAAUCAACAAAAUUUAUAACCUAUUACACCAUGUACUAGGGUAGCAAAGACAAAGCUACUAUAGCAUAGUGGCUCUAGGAUCGUUCACUGGGAUGGGUUUUCACUUCACAAAUGAUAUUAAUUCAAAGUUGAAUUAGUACCUUUUCAUUUCAAGGUUAGCUUUAAAAGAAAACAUAAAGAUGUUUGAAUGAAAAAGGUUUGGUUUUAAACUAACCAAAAAUAGUAACUGAUUUUACUUACAAAGAAAAAUGUUUCUUGGAGUUUCAAAUCACUAGGCUCAGAUUCCUCAUACAAAAAGGGAGUUCCGGUCACUUGUUUCUUUUCCUCGCAUUAGAGAAUUAACAUAUAGUUAAUUCUAUAACCGGUGUUGUACAGAUGCUUCCCAUUAAUGGGUUCAAACACUAAAUCCUUCUCACUGAUGCACCUUUCAAUGGCUCAUACCUCUCGCCUAGCACUUGCCAUUCAAGGUGAUCUUCAACCUUGGAUUACCCGUCAAAAGCUCACAAAAGAUAACUAAUGGAUGUCUCCUUGGAGUCCAAAAGCUUACCAAGUGUUGGCUAUUCUAGAAAAUCCUACCUUCAAACCACCUCCCAAAGGCUCGCAAGAGAUAAACUAGUGAAUCUCCAUGGACGGAGAUCACUUGCCUUACCAAGUGUUGGCUCAGGUGAAUUAAAGGUGUUUUAAGUUAACUAAAAAGAUAAAAACCAUUAACGGGUCACACUUUCUCUUCAUUAAAAACUAAAACAACAAAACUUCCAAAUUAUGCACGUGGAAACUUACCCGGAUUUCCUCACUCCAAGAGACGAAAAGCCUAGCCUCUCAUUCUCUGAGGAAAAAUCCUCAGAGUUUGGUUAGCUAGCAAGAAAAUGAAAAUGAAAGAGAAGGAAAAAACAGAGCAAGGCUCUGUAUAUUCUAUAUAUUUAUAUAUCUAUAUAUUUUACAGUGGAUGCAAGGGAAUAUAUAUAGAGACUUUUUUCCAACCUUCCUAACUAAGAAAUUUUAUGGUUGGUGGAUUACAAGGAGAAGAAUGGAAAUUUAUACAAAAAUAUCUGAAGAAAAAUAUCCAAAAGUGUCGGUCGCAACUAUCGGGAAGCUUCAGGAGAACACCUGUGCACUGUGCAAAAUGGCUGCGAAAUUCUCGCAGCAAAAGGCUGAUUUCGCAGCCGUGCAAAAAAUCUUCCUUCAGCUUGGAGUGAUCUGCUUGCAAUGGCUAUAACUCCUUCGUUUCAACUCCGAAUCAUGUACCGUUUGAAGCAUUGGAUUUUUGACUUCCUGAGCUUUGAAAUGGUAUAUAGAAUGUAGAAAAUGGACUUCGGGAAGUGCUCCAAAAGUGUAAAAGAAGACUGCAGCUGCUGUCCUCUAUUUUCUUCACUCUAUUUUUCCUCUCUCCGUUGUUCUUUCCUUGCAUACUUUGAACGACUUUGGCAAAGGGCUAUGGAGCUCCAAAGCUUGGUUCUUCAUGAAUUUGAGCUUCCAAAAGCUUUUCCAUGAACUAUAUACAGCUCUCCCUCAUUCUUGGAUUGCUUUGGUGUAGCUAAAAGCUAUCAAAAACACCAAAACUUAACACAAUUUAAUUAGAAACGAUUGCAAGGGUCCUUAACAUGUCAAUUGAGUUAAAAGGUAAUAAUUACUACUCAAGAGUGUUUAAAAGAGUUAAUUACAAAUUACAAAAUAGCACUUUUUGAGUAGUAAUCAGCAAACAUAGGCAUAUCAUUGAAACAACCUUGACAUUCUUAGCUCAUGCCUCUUUACCUCUACGAUAUUGGGAUGAAGCUAUUAGAACAUUAGUUUUUCUUAUCAAUAGGUUGUCUUCCUCAGUACUUUCUGGUCAAAUUCCUCUCCAAGUUUUGUUCAAACAACAACCAAAUUAUUCCAUGAUGAAAGUGUUUAGUUGCUCCUAUUUUCCAAACCUUAGACCCUACAACAAUCCUAAGUUCCAAUUUCGGUCUGUGGAAUGUACUUUCUUGGGCUAUAGUAUCAAACAUAAAGGUUUCAAGUGUUUAGAUCCUCAAGGUCGCAUCUACAUAUCCAAAGAUGUUCAAUUCAAUGAGAAAUCAUCUCAUUUUGCCAAAACCAAGUCCACUACUUGUCUUUCCUCUAUUCCUAGUCCAACACCCACUUUUCAUUCUGCUCUUAUUCCUAUUCAUUCCCCAAUUCUAUCUGUACUCUCACCUUCCACUUCUUUUAUUACAAACACAGUUGCUGACCAAUCUAAUUAUGAUCAAACCAGUGCUAAGUCUGUAUCAAAUGUAUCUAGAAAUGUUCAUUCCAUGAGAACCAGAUCUAAGGCUGGAAUAUUCAAACCUAAAGUCUUUAUAGCUUCUAAAGAACCAGCUUCCAUUCAAGAAGCUUUACUACAAGAUCAUUGGAAAGCUGCUAUGGCUGAGGAGUAUUCAACACUUGUUAAGAAGUAACAAGAAAACAAUUGGUUGUAAAUGGGUAUUUAAAGUAAAAGAAAAUCCAGAUGGCAGUAUACUGAAGCAUAAGGCACGAUUGGUAGCAAAGGGGUUUCUCCAACUUCCAGGUUUUGAUUUUAUAGAGACUUUUAGUCCUAUAGUGAAGCCUACUACAAUAAGAAUUGUUUUGACAAUUGCUUUAUUGAAGGGUUGGUAUGUAAGAUAGUUGGAUGUGAAUAAUGCCUUUUUAAAUGGAGAUUUAUAGGAUGAAGUGUAUAUGGAACAACCAACUGGCUUUGAAGAUUCAAAUUCUCCACACUUGGUGUGUCAGUUGCAUAAAGCAUUAUAUGGUUUAAAGCAAGCUCCAAGAACCUGGUUUGAAAAACUAAGGGAUGUUUUAGUUUCUUUGGGGUUUAUGUCCUCCAAAUCUGAUCAUUCUUGAUUCAUUACACAUUCUACUAGUUGUACCAUGUUUGUUCUAGUUUAUGUUGAUGACAUACUUGUGACUAAAAGUUCCAAAUUUUGAGAUUCAAGCCUUGGUACAACAACUCAAUACCAGAUUUGCAUUAAAAGACCUUGGUGAAGUUGACUAUUUCUUAGGAAUUCAAGUUAAACAUACUAUAGAUGGUUUACAUUUAUCACAAACUAAGUAUGUAACAAAUCUUUUGUGUAAGACAAAGAUGCAGUUGCUAAAGAGUUGCCCACACCUAUGUUUGGAUGAGAAAAAUUGUCUAGCAUUGGAAGUAAUCCAGUAGGCAAUCCACAACUCUAUCGAAGCAUAGUUGGAGCCCUACAAUAUGUGACAAUUACACAACCAAAACUUGCUUACUCAGUCAACAGGGUUUGCCAGUUUAUGCAAAAGCCUUUGGACUCUCACUGGAAGGUAGUAAAAAGGAUUGUUAUGUACUUAAAGGGAACAUUUGAUCAUGGUUUACGCCUUAAGAGAUCAAUGAACUUAGAUAUUAUAGGGUUUUGUGAUGCGGACUGGGCUUCAGACCCGGAUGAUAAAAGAUCAACUACAGGCUUCUGUGUAUAUCUUGGUUCAAAUCUGAUAUCUUGGAAUUCAAAUAAGCAAAACAUAGUCUCAAGGAGUAGUACCGAAGCUAAAUAUAAGAGUCUAGCUACGUUGGCAGCAAAAGUUACCUGGAUACAAUCCUUACUGAUAGAAUUACAAAUUCCUCAAGGUCUGUUCCAGUACUAUGGUGUGAUAAUUUGAGUACUAAACUCAUGUCAGCAAAUCCUAUUCUACAUGCUCGCACAAAACACAUUGAGCUUACCUACAUUUUGUGAGUGAGAAAGUUAUGAAGAAUGAGCUGGAUGUAAGACAUAUCUCAUCACAAGAUCAGAUUGCGGACAUUCUGACCAAAGCUUUAUCUAAUACUCGAUUUUUGUUGUUAAAAAACAAACUAAGAGUUUAACAAUUAUCCACUCUUUGUUUGAUAGGGGCUAUGAAGAGAUAACAUGUUAUUAUUAUCUAGUUAUGAAAUUAGUUACACUGUUUACCUAUUAGUUACACAUUGUUAGAAGUAGUUAGAUACAGAAAGGGUUAUUUAAGUUGUAAAACUCUGUUUUCUCAUUAAUAUGAAAUACCAUUUUACCAAUUCUAAUAGUUGCAAGGCGAUCAACUCUCGAGAGAGAUACCAAAUUUAUACGUGACUUGUCUAACAUGAUUGGGAUGAAUAAAUCUAUUGGAUUAUGCUACCAAGUUUAAGGUGGUUGUCUUUGUUCACUAUAUCACUAUGUUUUUUUACUAGUGUUCUUCCCAUUGUUUUUUUGUUUCCUUCUAACAAGUUUUACAGUUUAACUUGGAUGUUUGUCAUUGUCUUACUUCUUCUCACCUUAAUUAGGUAAGACUUAAGGCUCAAGUCAAGAGCAUGUCUUCCAAAGUGGACAAUCUUUCAAAGGAGCUUUCUCAAGCUAAGGUAGAACUAGAACAAAAUGCAACAUAUCAAUUUACUUACACCAAGAAAAUUUAUGACUAAAAGAUUAGUUAGAAGAAUGGGAAUCUCAUCUAACUUCUACGACUUAGAAGAUGGAAGAGUCAAGUGACUUUCUUGAAAAGACUAGGAAGGCCAAGGUGUUGUCUGAGAUUGAUUUGCUUCAUUUACAGGAGAGUUAGGCUAAAGAAAAAGAAUAUUUAUACGAUAAAGUGUUCAAGCAGUUGAUUAAAGAUCAUUUAGCUAGGGAUAAGCAAAAUCAAAAUGAGGGAUACGUUUUGGGCUAGGCUAAAGCACAUUUAAGUUGGGUUUCAAAUCCUUCGACCCCGAGAUUGGUUCAGGCAAUAAAUAUGAUGGAUCUUCCAAUUAGUUUUUGGUGGGUGACUUGUUGUUGAGCAUAGGUGAAAGUCUAACCAAGUCCAAUAUGGAGGUAGACUUUUCUAAAGGCAUUUCCCUUUUUUUUCUUCAUUUUUCUUGUACAAUCUAUUAACUAAUAUUCUAUUGAAUACCAGGUUCUUAGUCUUAUCGACAAUCAAAUCCUAGAAAUGAAGAAGUGGCUCAAAGCUUGAAUACGAUAGCUAGGGCUUUUUAGAGUGCAAUUGAGGCCAAGAAAUGAAUCCAUGCAAGAAAUGAGGUUCCUCCAAUUUAUUCAACUACUAGUUCUUUUCUUGUCAAGAGUAAAGGCAGGGUUUUGGAGAUCAACAUGAAUUUGUCCAUGAAUGAGAAGGAUAUGUCUUAAGAACCAAUGAAGGCCAACCCACCUUUGUUUGACUCUAUUCUUUUCCCAAAAUCGUUUUGAUACUUGUAGUGUCUUUGUUUGUUUUACCUCCCUUUGUGAUGGGAGUUUUUCUUACAUCAAACCAAUAUGGUUUAUUUUGAACAAUGCUUAAUUUCAUGUUUUAUUUCUUGUUGAUAGAUGUUUUUCAUGCGUUAAAAAGUUUGUUUGGGUUUGGCGAAUAGUUAGAAGAAGUUAUAAGCGUUGGGAUUGAGUCCUUAAAAACAAGAUAUAAUGUAACAAAGUUAGACAUGAGCUUCCACUUUUCUAUCCGUCAUUUGCACUGAUAUUGAUUUGAGUAUUCAAACCUAUAUCACUUACAUUGUGUAUGACUUGGGUGCAUUUAAGCCUACUACAAAGAGUAAAUUGUACUCUAGUAUGCUAUGUGUAGACCCCCUUUGAAGAGCCAAGGGGUAUUUAGUUUUUUUAUAUAUAUUAGAGGAGCUGGCAGCACCCGAGAAGUGUGGGGGGGACCCCUCUCCAUGCGUGGGACCAGCUGCAAGAGACGCCAUGCUGCUGAUGAAGGAAGGCAUGCUGCUGACUGCUAAAACAGGGAAGCAGGUGAUGGCUUGCCCGAGAAGGUAGGAACCGACUGGAGAGAAAAGGAAGGGAAGAAAAGAAGUGAUCUGGGAGAAGGGGGGCCAGUUGAGAGGAGGUUUCUUUUUUUUCUUUUCUUCGAGCUUGUGAAGGAGAGAUAUUGAAAAGAGGCUGGCAGAGAAGAGAGGGGAAAACAGAGAGCAGCUGGGAGAAAGAAAAGAUAGGACUUUGGGGGCAAAGGGGUGGUGGAGAAUUUGGGGCAGCAGCUGGGAGAGAAAAAAAUCAGGAGCAGCUGGAGCUGGGUGAAAGAGAGGAAAACGGGUAGCAGUUGGGAGGAUUCUUUGAAGAGAAAAAAAUCUGGAGAGCAGAACAGAGGAACGGGAAGAGAGAGAGAGAGAAGCUGGGAAAGAGGGGUUGAAAAAGGAUUUUCAGCAAAAGGGAUUUUCGGGAUUUUCCAGGUGCGAAUCAGAGAGCAUAUUUAACUGAUUCGUGAGUUGCAUUAACUGAGCUAUAGUUCAUUUCGUUUUCUUCAUUUUGGUGUUGGAAUUAUUUUUGUCUCUGUUUUAUUUGAGUUUGAUGCCCGAAAUCAUGCUUUUCGCUUCUGUUAAUUCCACCCACCUUGGCCACGGAUGUCGCCUGAAAAUGGGUCUCUCCAUCCAUAACCAGUCAUGCUCAGAAAUUUGAGCGCUGUUUCAAAAAACCAGAAAAUGGGCUUCUCUACUGUGAAGGUCUCUAGCAAAGGCUGAAGCAAAAACAAAUAAAUAAAUAAAUAAAAAAACAAAAGUCAACAAAGUAGUACACAGCCCAUUAUAAAACAUUGAAGCCUACAGACAAUGGACCCAUUUUCUUUUUUUAUUAAAUGCUCUCAUCUCUUUCUUAAUUUCCACUUCACGUUUUCAAAUAAAAUUUUUAAAACUUAGGUUUUUAAAUCUAAUUUCCAAAAUCUCAAUUCUCAACUAAUUUUUCAAAAAUUCCAAAUUGUUUUCAAAUAAGUUUUAAAACUCCAAUUUCCAAAUUUAAUUUCCGAAACUUUAAUUCUCAAAAUCUAAUUUUCAAAAAUCCAAUUUUUCUGAAUUCCAAUUUUCACAUUAUUUAAUUAAUCAUUAUUACUUUCAUUAUUAUUAUAUCCAUUUAUUUGUUGAUUCAUUCAUUUUUAAAAGAAUUCCAUUUUUAAAUAAUCCCUCAAAAUUCCAUUUUUCACAUUUCUUUAUCUAAUCAUUAUUAUUUUCGCUAUUGUUAUUAUUUUAUUCAUCUUAAUUAUUUAUUUUUGAAAAUUCCAACUUUAAAUAAAUUCCAAUUUUUAAAUAAAUCCAAUUUGUGAACUUAACUUCUAAAAUUCCAAUUCUUAAAUUUAAUUCCUAAUACUCCAAUUUUCAAACAAAUUUCAAAAAUCCAGUCUUCACUUGAACAGUUUUAAUUCCAUUCCGGUUUUCAAAUAAUCUCAUGUUUCUCGACUUUACAUAAGCAUGAAUGUAAUUUUCAUAAUUCUGGAGUAAUAGAAUCUGUGAUAUAAAUUCAUGCAAAAUAAACGGGUUUUGGUGGGGGCCCCACAUAUGUGACUGAUCGAUCGAUUGACAGAUAGAUCAAUUUUAUUAUGAUACAUGAUGGAUUUAUCCUGCUCUAUGACAUGCUCAGAAUUAUUCCUUAAUUCUGCACUAACCUCACUUUUUGAUAGCGCUUCAUGGAUCACUGCCCAGGUACGCAUCCACAUCCGCUCUGGUCAUAUUCGGUAUGCAUGUUUAGAUUCUCACGUGUGCAUGAUCACUCUGAGUAUUCAUUGAUUUCAUCAUCAAUUACCAUGAUUGCUUCAUUUUAUUAGUAGAGACCCGACUUUAGGGACUUAAAGAGGUGUUACGGUGUUUACCGUACCUUCCCGAUAAGUAACCUGACCCCCGAACUUGAUCCGGUUUUUCACAAACCGCCUUUUCCAAAAUAAGGAUUCACACUUAGGGUUUUUUCUUUCUUAUUUUGUUUACCCUUUAAAAAUAAAACAAAAAUAAGUGGCGACUCCGAGUCAUUUUUCUUAAUCAAAUAAAAAUCAAUUUUUCGAAAUAAAAAUCGAGCUCGCCAUCGAGUGGGAAACGCAUGAGCCGAAAUGCGGGGUCCACACUAUGAUAUUAAUAUUUUUACAUUCUUAGGAUAAAAUCUUAUAAGUAUUUAAAAUUUUUAGUGAUAUAUUUGAUUUCUUUCAUUGUUGUGUAUUAGCAGUGAUGAUGACUAUACAACGUUAAAAUGCUAAUUCUACUUCAGAAAAUUAUUGAUUAAUAAGUUGUUAUUUACUCUAACCUACUGUCCCAUUCAAUUCAUAAAAUUUUGUGAAAAUCUAAAAAUAAUUUUUUAUCUAUAAUUUAGAUCUUUUAAGUUUGGCUAGAAUGAUGGUUUUUCGUAUACUUCUAUGAUAAUCCACAAAAAAAAUGUUUUCUUUUUCCAUAAUAUUGAUGUUCUAGGUUUGAUUGUGAGCUUGUUAUACUUUGAUGAUAAUGAAAUAUAUCCAUGAUUUUGACAUGAAAACAACUCAAAUAUCCUAUUUUUAGGGAGAACCUACUUAGGUUUUCUACACUAUUUAUGAAAUUAUUGGAUCCUUAUGAGUCAUUUGCAUAACUUUAUGCUUUCUUAUUGUGAAAAUGUCCAUAUUUGCAAGCCUUCAUAGUAUAAAAUAUGUACAUUUGUUUUUUAUUCUUUGUGGGUUAUGUUUCGAGGAUUUAAUAUAAAUUAAUGGUUUGGGUGUUGCUAAGUUACCUGUGAUGAUACAAUUUAAUUAGUUGAGAUGUGUGAAAUACAAAAAGAUUCAAGAGACAAUAUAUAUAUAUAUCAAGGAUUUCUUAUUAUGAACACUCUUGAAAAAAGAUACAACAUCAUUAGAGUUUAAAUAGACCUAAUAAAAGGAAAUAAAUACUAAUUUACCUUUACUCAUAAAAAAGAAAUAGGAUAAUUCUAAUAUAGUAACUAAAAUGUCUUAAUUAAUUUGAAAAGAAUUUUAAAUUGAGAAUUUAAAAGGAAAAAUCUUUCCAAAUAAUAAAAAUAAUUUGGAAAGAAAUUUUAAAUUAAGAAUUUUAAUUUGGGAAGAAAUUUUAAUUGAGAAUUUAAAAAGAAAAAUCUUUACAAAUAAUAAAAAAAAAUGAAUUUUAAAUUGAGGAUUUAAAAUUAAGAAUUUUAAAAAGAAAUCUUUUUCAAAUCUUUUUGAAUUUAAAAUAUGAAAUCUUUCCAAAUCCUUUUAAAACUCUUAAGUUUCUAAAUUAUUUUUAGUAAAAUAUAAUUCCUAAAUUGAUUCUAAUUCUACUAGUUUUUUUUUUCCUAUAUAUACCCUAUUUAAAUGUGUUUUUUAGGGAAUACAUUGAGAGAGACUCAACCUGGCUUGCCCUACCAUUCCCAAACUCUUAAGAAGGAUUCAAAGUGCUGAAUCUUGAGUUGUUUGAAGACUUGCAUCCCUUCAGUGAGGUUAAGGUGUAUUCGUUGGAGCAAUUGGAUAUUAUUGUGUCGCGAGCAUAGAUCAAGUUGUAGGUUUUGAAGAGUAAGUCUUUAAGGUAAAGCGGUCAAGUAAAUAUGUGUGACUUGAUCUCAUAUAGUGGAUUUAAAUUUGAAAUCUUAGACCCCGUAGUUUUUUAUCUCCAUAUUUAGUGUAGAGGUUUUUCACGUAAAAAAUUUUGUGUCACUUGCAUACUUAUUUGUUUAUUUUGAUUAUAAUGAUUAUCCUUGAUAUCUUGUAGGUUAAAAUUAGGUUAAGAAUUCAACUCCUUAUUCAAUAAUUUAAAAAAAAAAAAAAAAUCACCCAUUGACCCUCUUCUAGGUGUUAUCCUACUAAACAACUGUUUUUCAUAGUGCUAAAGAGAUACCGCAAAAUACAAAGAACAACAACUCAAUGAACUAUAGUAGAAGCAACAAACUGACUAACAAUGUGAAUAAUAUGAGUAAUCUGAAUGUGUAAUGAUGAGAUAAACCAAGCUACCAACAAUGGUACAAUACAAAGUAGGGUUUGGCAAGGGGUUACUAUUAGAAGAAGAAUAUCGAACAUUAACCUCAAGAUGACUAUCAAUAGUCUUAGUAUCAAUAAGGUGAGAUCAAUCAAGAAUAUCAAUUGUGUACUUAGACUGUGAGAUAAUAACUUUUCGGAGAAAGAGGCUACCUCAAUACCCAAAAAGUAUUGUAGAACACCUAAAUAAUUCAUUUCAAAACAAGAAGCUAAAUCGGAUUUCAACACUACAAUCCCAUUAAUAUCAUCACCUAUAAUAAUCAUAUCAUCAACAUAUAUAGAAAGAAAAAUAUGAGCAGCAAAGGUGUACUUUAGAAAAAGUGUAGGAUCAUGAUGAAUAAGGUGAAAUCCAAGAGAAGUAAGCACAUCAAAUAACUUCACAAACCAAACACAAGGUGCUUGUUUGAAACCAUAUAAAGCUUUCUUGAGCUUGUAAACUUCUCUAGGGUUAUGAGAAACACUAAGAGAAUGGAUCAUGUAGACUUCUUCUUGAAGACCACCAUUCAAGAAAGCAUUUUUAACAUCUAACUAAGAUAUAUGACACUAACAAAUAUAAGCAACUACAAUAAGAGAAUGUUUGAUAGUGAUUCUAGAAAGCGUUUCUAACAUUUCUAAGACUUGAAAAUUUUUGUCAUUCAAGUGUUAAAAAUGCUAAAAAGUUUCCUACAAUCAUUACCAAACACACUCCAAGUGUUUGACUAGUAGUCAUAUUUGUAAUGAUAGCAAAAGUCUCUUCAUAAUCCAUACCACACUAGUGUGAAAACCCUUUAGCAACCAAUCAGGUUUUGUACCACUCAAUUGAACCAUCAGCCUUAGUUUUGAUUUUAUAGAUCCAACGAGAACCAAUGAUACUCUUACCAGGUGAUAAAUGUACCAAAUCCUAAGUAUCAAUCUUAUGCAAAGCAGAAAAUUCAUUAGUCUUAGCCUUUUGACAAAGAGAAUCAAGAACAACUUCUCUAUAUGAUAAAGACACAAAAAGAUUAUGAAUAGAAACUAAGAAUGAUGUAAAAUAAUCUAAAUAAAUUGAUUAGACAAAAUCUAAUAAUUGAGUAAACUUACAAAGAUACUAAAAAGAAUGUGGGGGAAGAGGAUCCAUCAUCUCACAAGGUGUUGGAAUAACCGUAGGAGGAGAAGAAGGAGCAUGAUGAUCAAGAACCAAAGUACUAAUAUCUAUAAGAAAACUAUUUGUAUCAUCCAAGAAAGAAUCAAUGUGAACAAGUUUGAAUUUAGAAACAUUACGAGACUUAGUAGGAAUAGAAAAGAAAGGUAUAUGCUCAAGGGGAAAAAAUUAAAAACAAAAACAAAACAAAAAACAUGAUGAGUAUAAAACAAAUUACGAGGUUUUUGCAUAAGGUUUUGGAUUAAAACUCAAAUUUAUAAAAAUAUCUUUUUUAAAGCUCAAAACAAAUAUAAAAAAUGGUGCAUAAAUGAACUGAAACUCCCAAGUGCACCUAAGUAUCCAUGUUACAUUGAGUUCAUAUUCUUCAAUAGUCUUCAUGCUCUCUUAAUCUUAUACUUCUUGGAUCCUUUGAUUAUUGACUUAAUUCCUUAUUUGAAUAUUUGGAUUGAACCUUGAAGCUUAUCUUGAUUUUAAAAAUGUUAGUACAUUAACCAUAAUUUGUUAUCAUUAAAACAUGAUUAGAGGAUGCCUUGGGCUAACAAUCACUAUUAAGCACCAUAUUAGAUUUAUGCUACCAAUGAUUGGUUAGUAAAUAUGUGGUUAAUAUAAUAAUGUUUAUACAUCUAACAUGCUUACAAUGGAAUUAAUGUUUUCUUCAUGUGUCCACUAUAUUUCUUCCUAUUCAAACUGUAGUAUGCUAACCAUUCAAAAAUAAUAGAAAACAUCAAGCUCUACCUCUAAUAAUUAAGCUUUCUUAAACAAUUUGGGAUCUAUAUAAGUAAGUAUCAAGGCAUAGGAAGAAAUGUUGAUUUCAAACCUAUGAAAUAUAUUUAAGUGGUUUUUCUCAUCUUUUAUAUUUUUUUCUUGCACCAAACUUAUGAAAUAUUGAUCAAACAUGAUCAAACAUCUAGAUUUGAUUCAUGAACAUAAUACCACCUCUAUUCAAUUUUGGUAACUAAAAUUUCACAAACCAUUAAUAAGCCUAUUCACAUGUGAUUUUUUAGGCAUUGGUUUGAGAAACAUGUUCCAUUUACCAAGCAUUGGGAGCAAUAUUACACCCUUAUUGUAAUCUAAGACCAUUAUAAAUUUUACUUUGAUCCAAGAGAAGUACAAAUUGAGAAGUAAAAGUUGUACAUUCCCUUUACUUUUCUAUUUUAUAAUAUGUACUACAUUUGCAAAUAAUGUUCUUGGAGAAGUAAAAGGGUGCAUUUCAUACAAUUCCUAGAAAGAUCGCUUUCCCUAUUAGAUCCUCCACUAAACUUGAAGAAGACAAUAUUUGCUUUGGCAAACACUUCUCCAAUCGGUCUUUCAAGAUCAAAAUCUAUGGAAGGGUUUUAAAAAAAAAAAACAUUGGUUAAAUAAUAAUCAUUAUUAUAACAUCAGAUAAAGAUAUAUCAAUGUUUUGUAAAAUAAAAGUUUGUUUGAUAACUUAAAAUAUUUCUAACCUAUUUUUAAUAUUUUAAAAAUAAUUUUUAUAUGUAGUAUUUUAUUUUUAAUCAUUCUAAAUAUUUGUAUAAUUAUUUUUGUAAACAACUCUAAAAAAAAUAAGUGAAAACAACAUAAAACAACAGUAAAAGAUGUUUUUUUGAAAACACUCUAUUUUUUAUUUUUAAGAAUAGAAAAUAGAAAACAAUUUUUAAUUGUCAAUAGAGUUUUUCAAGGUUUUUGUUUUAAAGAACAGAAAUUAUCAAAUAAGCCCUAAUUCUCUUUCCCGUUUGCAUACUUGAUAAGAAAUUCCAAGACUUUGUAUGUGACUUCAUUCCUGAAGGUGUAAAGGUUUUAUGUAAAACUUUUUAUAAAUUAGACUUUUGACUUUGAUUUAAUUAUAAUCUUGUGAGACUUAAUUUUGUGUUGUUAUAAAAGUUGUCACAAAUCAAUCAUACAACCCAUAAGACUUUUUUUGAGUUGGAUGGGACAUGUCCAAUUUGAAAAAGUUGGUCAUUUGUUGAAAUCAAAUUUGGUCGAGCCACAAAAUUUUUAAUGUCACCUUCAAUAUUUUCAUAAUUAGAUUGAUGAUUAAAGUAAAACAAAAUUAUUGAAUCAUAGUUGAAUAAUCGGAUCGAUAUAAUCAUGAUUCAAUCAUCAUAUUAACAUGACAUCAUAUAUAUAUAUUAAUUAAAAAUUAAUUACAAUGAGUUGUACCACCUUCUAGAUAAAGGGUUUGAAACAUGCUUUGAUGAUUUAAAAAAAAUGCAAAGAAAAAAAAAACGGCAGACAAUUAAUGAUCAAAAUAUUCAUUAUGGUUUCAAUUGAACCAAACCAAUUGGUCCAACUAAUACAUAAUCACAAUCUGAUCUAAUUUGAAGAAUAUUAAUUAAAAAGAUAGAGAUGAUAUAAAUAUGUAGAUUAAUGUAUAAGUUAGAAAAACCUUUACAAAAAAAGGAAAUUCUUAAACAAAUUUCAAAAUUGGUCUAAUUUGAAGAACAUUGGUUAAAAAGGAGAUAAAGUGAAUAUGUAGAAUGUAAAAAAGUUUUAAAUAUUCUUCAUAUUUUCAAUUAAAUUGCUCCCGAUGCUUCAUGGAUAAAAAUUAAAAAUAAAUACUUUGACAGAAAAUUAUCGAAAAAAUGUCUCUUAAAAAUUUAUUGAAAAUGUUUUUUAUUAAAAAGUUUGUUAAAUGUGUUUUGUGAGUUAAUAUGAGUUACAUUUUGUGUUCACCUAAACUUAUCAAAAAAAAAAAAAAAAACAUUUUGUGUUCACCUAAAUAGCAAAUAAUAUUUUUUGAUAGGGAUUGAAAAAUAGAGAAUUAUGUUUUACACCCACACGGGUUUGAAAAUUGGCCCAAAAUCCUCAUAUCUCUUAUAUUUGAGUCCAAGACUUGAUAGAAGAGUGAAAAUUGAGUUAAAGGAAAUUACCUUUCAAAAUUUCCUAAAAUGCCCUUAGAGAGAAUAAAAAAAAACAAUGGGUUUCCACUUCUCUCUCAUUCUCUAUUUCCCUUUAUCUCUCUUCAUUCACCUUACAUUUUUCUCACAUAUUAAUCGGUGAGACCAUGUAAAUUAAUUCUUAGUUAGGAAGGUGUCACUAUUUCCACCAAUUAUUUUUCUCUCAAAAUCCUGCCUAAUAUAAAUUGAAUAUUGGAAAUCAAUGGUUAAAAAUGAUUAUUACUACAUUUUUUAAGUAAAUAUUUUUUAAACACCUCAUAAAAUAUUUUUUUUCAAACUUACAAAAUAUAUAAUAAAUAUUUUUUAAACACCUUAAAAAAUAUUAUUAUUCUUUUUUAUCUAAUAUAUAUAAGUUAUUUUUUAUAUAAAUAUCUUUAAAGUUAUAGACACUUAUUUGAAUAUUUUCUCUAUUUUAUGAACAAUAUAUAAACAUUGUCUUAAUAUAUUAUUUUUUAACAUGACCAUCUUUUAACUAAUAGUGAUAAUUAAUUUUAAUUGAAUAAUGUAUUAUAAUUUAAUAAUUUGAAAAAUAUUAAAAUUCCCUUUUAAAUAUGAAAUAGAUCUGAACUUGACAUGCUUUAAAUUAUUAAAACAUGAUGUCAUUAAGGCAAGCAAAUAUAUCAUAAUUUUCUCUUCUUUUUUUUUUUUUCCUCAUACAUGAUUUUACAAAAAAGGUAGUACCUAAAUAUUGUAGUUAAUUUUCCUUUAUAUGGGAUGUAAAUGUACUUAAAAAAAAUAUUGUUAAAACUACUCAAAUGAAAUAUACAAUUACAAAUUUUGAAUGAUGAAAUUUAAAAAUUCAAAUUAUAACAAUUUUUAGGUGAAGGAAUGUGUGGGGAGAAGUGUCUAAUCCUUAGGUGACAAGAAAAAAAAAUGGUUCAGAAUUUAUUGAAAUCUUGCAUAGAGGGUAGUUUUGUACACCUCUUAUACAAUUAGUAUAUUUGUCUUAUAUAAUUAGUACAUUUGUCUUGUAUAGUGAAUGUAACACCCUUGUAUAGUAGUGCAUUUUUCAUUUACAAUCCAUAGGUAACAAGGAAAAUAAAGAAGUAAUUCAAAAUCAAUUAAAAUCUUUCACAAAUAAUAGUCUUGUAUACCUUUAUACAUUUAGUACAUUUCUCUUAUAUAGUUAGAGUCCGUUUGAUAGUGAUUCUAGUGGAAGUGUUUUUAUUCAAAGUGUUUUCUUCUGUAGUGUUUCUAUGAAAAACACUUUUAUGAUAAUCAGAAAAAAUGAUUUUAAUAGUGUUUUUGAUAAUAUAUUGUAUAAGAAUAGAAACACUUUUAAUAUUAAUAAAUUACCAAAAAUGACAUACAAUUUUAAUUAAAAAAAUAGUAUAAUAAACAAAAAACUUUUAUUACAACAAAAUAUAUAAACAUUUAUCUUAAAAGAAUAUAUAUAAUUUUGAAAAACAUACAAAAAGAAUUGCAUUAAUAAAUAAUAAAUAUCAUAUAUUAGUUUAAAAUUAAUAACUUUUUUAUCACUAUAAUAAAAGUUUAAAAAAUAUUUACAAAAAACAUCUAAAUCAAUAAAAAAAGAACAUUGAAUAAAAGAUAAUUUUAAAAGUAAAACAAUAUAUGAUUACCUAUUAAUUUCUUAAAAAAAAAAAACUUUUCUAAUUAAAAUUAAUAAUUUUUUUAUCACUAUACUAAAAUUUUAAAAAAUAUUUACAAAAAAAAAAAUCUAAAUAAAUAAAAAAGAACAUUGAAUAAAAGAUAAAUUUCAAAGUAAAACAAUAUAUGAUUACCUAUUAAUUUAUCAAAAAAAAAUUAUAAUUAAAAGCAAAUAAGAAGACAAAUGUUUUCAUAGCAAAAAAAAUGGGAAAAAUUAUAUUAUUACAUAUUAGAGUCAUAAUCAAACAUUAAUGAGACAUAAGAAGAUUUGCAAUUCGAUCACGAUGUUCUUCCAUCUCUUUUGUAUGAUGUGAACCAUCUUCCUCAACAAGUGAAUCCACUCUACUUUCUUCUUCAUUAAGUGGAAGCAACCCUUGAUCAUCAUCAUAAGGUUUAAAUUCCAUAUCCGUUCUAGCAUUAAUCCUUAUGAAAGUUGUGAAGAGCCAUUGAAGCAAUAACAAUCUUUACUUGUUUUUCAAGAGGAAAACUGUGCAUUUCUCGUAGCAUUUUCCAUCUAUUAUUCAAAACGGCAAACAUUCUCCCAAUUGUGCACCUCAAUGAUGAAUGCCUAUGAUUAAAUAUUUCCUUUUUACCUUUAGGUGAACUACCUCGUCGAAAAUCUGGAAGAUGGUAACGCUCGCUUUUAUAAAGGCCUAAAUAUCCACUCAUUUGAGGAUAACCAGCAUCGACCAAAUAAUAUUUACCUACAAAAAAAAAAAAACAAAAAAUAUAUAUUAGAUAAUAAAAAUUUGAUCACAAAACAAGUUUGAUAUUAUCAUUCACAAACCUCUAGGUGGAUGAGGAAAACCCAAUUCUGGCCUUCUUAAUGCCUCUAAAAAGACCCGCACAUCAUGAGCAGCACCUUCCCAUCCGACCCAUGCAAAUGUGAAACACAUAUUGAAAUCACAUACUGCCAUAACAUUUUGGGUAGUCACACCUUUUCUACCAAUAUAUGUAUUUUUCUAUCUCUAGGAACCACAAUAGGUAUAUGAGUUCCAUCAACUACCCCAAUACAAUUCUUAAAAUAUGGCCAAUACCGAUCAUCAUUUCUUAUUUUAUCAAGGACUUCCUUAAACUGUGGAUCACUUGGUUUUAUAAUAUCUUUAGCCAUAAGACAAACAACAUCUAAUAGAAUCUCAAACCAUCUAGAUAUAGAUUCACUAGAGUGUUGAAAUCUUUCUUGAAUCAUCCUAUUGCUUAGUCCAUGACCUAUUGUAGUGAGAAAAAUUACUAAGACCUCUAUUAAGGGCAUAUCAAAACCUUCUUUUAGGCCAUAACUUUUAGUAAGUGUUUCUAAUAAAUUCAUAAACACAUGUUUUUUCAUUCUAAAUUGCUCAAAACACCUGAUUUCAUGGCCAUUUAAGACAUCCAUUACAAACUUGUAUCCUCUGUGGGAAGAAGUUCUACAAGGUUUUUUUUUCUUUGAAACUAGUAAGUGUUGCAGCUACAGCACAACCCGCAAGCACCAAUUGAUAAAAAUCAUGUUCAUCAUCGCUUUCAUCGUCAAAAUUUUGAUCAUUAUUAUUAGAAGACAUCUACACAAAUAAAAAUAGAAAUACAUUAAUAAACAACAAUAAUGUAUAUUUUCAAUUACUAUAGUUAUUUUAAAAAAUUCAAAAGUACACAAUUGAAGUUUAUAAUUCCUACCAUUGCUAGACAUUCUGUAGUAAAAAAAUAUCUUAUAGAAAUAAUAAACCUAAAAAAAAAUGUUAAAUGACUAAGAUGAAAUAUAAAAAAAGAACAGAGGAACUACACAUUAAUAAAAUGAAAAACAAUACCAAAUUUUGUAAGAAGUUUACCACCAAAGCUCAUCUAAUAGCCACAAUUUUUAGAGAAAGAAAUAAUAAAAAGUAUCAAAUAAGGGCAUAAUGACUUUUGCAAUUCACACAUAAAGCAAACCAACAUCUCUUUCCUCCCCUCAACCUAACAACUAAACAAUAUUAGGUAACAAAAAUAUGUUUCCAUAUAAAAACAAGAAACAACUCCAACACUCAAACAUGUUUAUGUUUAAGCCAUGCAAUCUGAUCAAUUGGGUCUUCUAAUGAAACAAACAUAUCUCUAUUUUCCUUGACAACCAUGAUAUCUAUGGCUUUCAUAUAUAACUCAAAGUAAUUCUUUACUUCAGGCAUCCCACGUAUGAUUUUCAUCACUUCAGCAAUGCUACAACCUGGCUUAUCUCCUUUAGAUGAGAUAGAAGACCUAUUCUCCACAGCACUACAAAUGCGCUCUAACUAGAUAGCCACAAGCUCAGAUUUGGUUUCAUUUCUUUUCCUCUUUCUUCUUCCUUCAUUCUUUUUUGCCAUAGAAGGUUGAGUAGUAGCUUCAAAACUAUUGGAGAUAGUAUUAAGUGGCGGAUUGCAACUAAGGUCAUCUUGGUCUACUAUUAUAUUAUCUUCGUGUUACCCCACCUUAGAUGAAUCAUCAACAUCUUGUCCUACAAAGCCUUGUGAUGGUGCCCACGCUCCUUCACCAGUAACAAUAAUAUCUUUGAAAAGUAUGUCUAAUUGCUCAACAUUUUUCAAGCCCAACAUUUUUCAAACCUUUUGUUUUAAACUUUAUUGCUUCAAGAUUCUUCUACAAGAGUAUUUAAUUUAUCAUAUUUCAUAACCAAUAUAUAAAUUAAUCAAAUAAAUUUAAUGAAUAAACAAAACAUACCUUCAAUUUCUUAUCCCACCAUUCAUUGCUUAAAUUAAUGGUUUGUCUCAUAGGAUCCCACCCAAGGCUAGUCUCUUUCCUAAUCAAGGUAUUCCAAAGUUGCCAAUCCUUUUUAAGAGAACUCUAUUUAUUCUUAAGUUGCCUAUAUUGAUAGUUUCUUCCAAUUAAAUUGUUGAAGGCUUUUAUCACAUUUUUCUAUCCCAACUUGCUAAAGUGACUAUUUGGUCUAUUUCCAGCCAAAGUCUCAGUCACACAAACUUUGAUAAAAGCAUCCAUUGUAAUAUCAUCCCAAUAAGCCUUGCCUUUUUUUUCACUUUCUCCACCACUUGGUUGUUGUAAUGGUUUAAUAAUGUUGCUAGACAUUCUCUAUUUAAAAAAAUAUAUAUUUUAGAGAAAUAAUAAUUUUCAAACAAAGAAUCACACUUUUAAAAUGAAGAAUAAAGAAAGAAUUAAGGAACAAAACAUCAAUAAUAUAUGGUUAUCUAGUGUAGACAAUGCUUGGUAUGAUUAAAUUUUUAAAAUGUAAACUCGGUAUUGAACAUCAUAUAGGCAGAUUCUGUAAAGCAUAAUAAACAAAUAAGAAAAAGAAAUCCUCAAGUGCAAUAUUCUUGGUUGAAAAUAAAUCCUCAUUGGUAGAAACUGAAGAUACAUACAAAGCCUACAAAUCCUAAAUUUGGUAGAAACUAAAUUUUUUAGUUCCGCUUCUCUCAUAAUUUUUUUUUUCUUUGCAUUAGGAUAUUGAUUUAAUGAGUCUACAUUUUCUUUGUUUCUAUUGCAAGUCAUACUCUAACCGCUUCUUUACAUUUAGACAUGUAUUGCAAUGUAUCUUUAAUCAAGUCUUGACCAUCUGAAAACUAGUUGGAAUGUUUCACAUAUAGGAGGAAGUCAAUUCCACCUUUUCGCAAUGAGUUCCAUGAUUUGCUUGAAACCAGCUCAUUUCCCCCUUGUAGGUGUUACAGAGCAGCUUAAUUAUGACUCUAGAAUUUGGCUCAUUGAGAAUGCAAAGAUGAUGUUUUAACCCAUGUUCAGAGGAUGGACAACCCAAUAUGACAUAGAAAACCUAAGAUCAGACUGGGAAAAAAGAGUGGUUCUAUAACUUAUUGAAAACCACUUCGAGAAUCACAUAGAAGGCAUUCUCAACCUAGAAGGUACAACUCCAAGAAGCAUGAACUGUAGACAAUCCACACUCCCCCUAUCAUCUAUAGCAGAAAUCUACACGAAAAUUGAUUUGAUAUUAGUCUUCGAAUCUCAAUCAUGAGACAUCUUCAUCCCCCAAGCAGGCCUUCUUCCAAUAGGAUGAGAUUCACUCUUUUCCAUUUGAUCUGCGUUGUCGUCUUCUUCUCUCUUUUCGUUUUUGGCAUUCAAUCUUCUCUCUUCACUAGUAAGUUUCUCCAUUUCGUCAGUUAAGAUCCUGAUUUCUAUCUUUCAUUUUUUUUUUUUAAUCAUACCUUAAAUGCGGCGGUUGUAGCCAACAGCAAGAUUUCGAAUAACAUCAACAUUUAGAUUUUAUCGGAUUUCCAGUCUAGUGUUCAACAAUGCAUGGUUAGUCUUCCAAUUUUAAAAUUUAUGAUUUGAUGUUUUAUUUAUAAGUUGGAUCAAUAGUUUUUAUAUUCCUUUGAAUUGAAUUGGCUAUGUUUAAUUUCUGAUACCGAGUUGAGAAUUAUGAUAUGUGUUGAUCUACAAUUGAUUUCUGAAGGAUUGCGUGUGUUUAGGUUCAAAUGCAGUUGAAUUUUAGGGAACUAGAAUGUUGCUUUUUUGAAUUGUCGAGACUAUGUGAACUCAAAAACCCUAAACAGAGCAAUUGCAUAUGUGAACCAGAAUAGAGAAUGAGAGUUUUACAGAGAGAAGUACUCAAAAAUGAGACUCGAUUGCUCUAUUGAAAAAUAGAUCUAAAACUGUUAAGGCUUUGAAGUAAUUCCUGUAAAAACAUUUGAGGAUUUAUAGAUUUCAUUUUCUCAUACUUUCCUCCUAACCAAACAAUCCUAAAACCCAAAACCCUAACUAACAUUUCAAGACAAUCAGACAUUAAAAAAAAUGGAAAAGAAAAACAACAAAAGAACAGAGGAUUACCUUCGAUCCGAUCAACGAUGUCGAAUGAAAGUGGAGCGUCUUUCCUAGUGUGUAGUCUCGGAUGGAGAGUAAUGGAGGAGGAGAAUGAAGGAGAGAGGUAUGAGCGAAAGAGAAGGAAGAUAUCAGAAUCACUUGGGGGCAUUUUUGGAAUAUUUCAAAUUUUUUGAAGUGUUUUUUUAAAAAAACACCUGUCAAGUGAUUCUCUAAAAAUCACUUUAAGUGUUUUCCCAGAUUUUCAAAAGUAUUUUUAAAAAUUUGCCAACACUUUAUUUUCAUCCCAAUAACACUUAAAAGUGUUUUUAAGGGUAGAAACACUUUUGAAAAUCACUAUCAAACGGGCUCUUAGUGUAAUAUCAUUGUACAAUAACGCAAUAUAUCUCUCCUAAGUAAUGUGUCCAUAUACGUGUGUUAACCAUAUUUCUAAUGGUUUAGCUAAGAAAAAAGUGGAUGAAUUAGGGUUAAAUUUUUUUUCACCAAACAUCAUUAUUAUAGAAAGUAUUGGAAUUUCUAUGUGAGAGCUAAAUAAAGUACAUGAUAUAGGUACGCAAUCCAUGGGUGACAAGGAAAAUAAAGGAGUUGUUCAGAAUCGAUUAGAAUCUUUUAGAAAUGAUAAUCUUUUACAUUUUUUGUACACUUAGUGCAUUUCUCUUGUACAAUUAGUGAAUACCCUUAUAUAGGGUUACAAAUUAAACAUGAUUUUAGUAGUUUGAUUAAGAAAAAUAGUGAAAAACUUAAAUCCAAUUUUUUUGCGAACACAUUAUAUUUUUGUGAAAAAAUAUACAAUUGACCGAUUCCUUUAUUUAAUUGUGAACAUGUUAUAUUUUUUAUUUUAUUAUUAAAAUAACUAAUAAAAAAAUAAAAAAAAAUAAUCAAUAAAUGAAAUUUAAUUUUUUUAUUAUUUUCAUACAAAAAAAAUAGUAUUAAACAAGGUAUUCAAUUUUCAUUUUUUAAUUAAACAUAUUUUCAAAAAGAGACAAUAUAGAAAAUAAAAAUUAUUUUUAAAAAUUAAAAAUUAAAAACUAAAAAAAUAUUUUAAAACCAAACUCAAACAUAAUCUAUAUAAUUUUUAAUUACUUAUUUUCAUUUAAAAUGAGUAAAUAUAUCAUUCAACCCUUUUAUCUAUAAAAAAAAAAAUCAAUCUCUAUUGUAAUAUGUAUUGAUAUAAUCCAUUUCUAAAUACGAAAGCAUUUUAAUUGGAUAUUUAAAUAAAAACUCUUCAUUCAUCUUCUUUCUCUUCUUUUUUUUCCUUAUUUCAAUAAAUUUUCAAUUAAUUUAAAUCAUUAAAAAACAAAUUUAAUUUUUUUUCUUAAUAAACAAAUUUUCAACAUUUCAUGUAACUUAUCACAAAAAGUCUAUGUUCAAAAAAUUAUUUAAAUUAAGAAGGAAGAAGAUUAAAGAAAAUAAUGAUUAAAUAAAAUGAAGGGAGUAGGUCAAAGGGAUAUUUUUGUCUAUUCCUAUCUCAUAUCAUUGUAAUUAAUUAUAUAUAUUUGAAAGAUUUUUUAUUAAUUAUCAAACUCGGGUCGGUAUAAAUCAUUAAAAAACAAAUUUAAUUUUUUUUCUUAAUAAACAAAUUUUCAACAUUUCAUGUAACUUAUCACAAAAAGUCUAUGUUCAAAAAAUUAUUUAAAUUAAGAAGGAAGAAGAUUAAAGAAAAUAAUGAUUAAAUAAAAUGAAGGGAGUAGGUCAAAGGGAUAUUUUUGUCUAUUCCUAUCUCAUAUCAUUGUAAUUAAUUAUAUAUAUUUGAAAGAUUUUUUAUUAAUUAUCAAACUCGGGUCGGUAUAAAUCACAAUUCUCCGGUACAAAAAACAGUAUCAAUCAAGUGAUACGGAAAUAUAAGUUUCGAUGUUAUCUGGACCUGUUUAUUUGUACUCUGUUUAUAUCACUUGGGUAACCUUCAUCCUCCUACAAAGUUUCCCCAAAUUGGGCCUAUACGUGUAGGCGCAUCCAUUGUGAAGAAGACGCUCGUCAACAAAACUCCGAAAACUUGUCAGGGAAGGAACGACAAGACAGAGACAUCUGGAACUUUUAUUCUGUCUUCGCACCUCCUCUCUACGCUACUUUCUUGCACCUUGACAGAAAGGAGAAGAGGCCAAUGGGGGAGGAAGUGAAAGUGGAUAAAUGGGGGUAUGAGGUGAACACCUCCUCCGAUGCUUGCAUCUCUGCCAUCAACGCUUACUACCACCAGGUUUGGCCUCUCUCUCUCUCUAUAUAUAUAUAUUCAAAAUUCAGAGUUCCAGAAUCCUUGCCUUCCAGUUCUGAACUCAGUUUGGUGUUUUGGGAACUAAUUGAAGCUGCUGAUUUACGGGAGAGAGAGGUCCGUGAUUCUGGAAGCGCCGCUUCGCGAUCAACACUGCGUAUUAGCCAACAUAUUGGCUGCUCAUUUCCUCUGCUCCGCCGAUCCUUCCCGUGCUCCGCUCCACAUUCAGGCCGCCAAGUCUCGCCUCGUGAGUUCUCUUCUUUCUCCUUUUUUUUUUAAGAUUAAGUUUUCUAAUUUCAUAUCUAUAUAUAUAUAUAUAUAUAUUUAUGUAUGCACAGCAACAAGCCUCCGCAUAUGAGAAAGCGGUUUUCGAUGCCGUCAGCUGUUUGAUUUCCCAGGACAGGGAUGAUGAUCUUGCUCUGGAGUUGCACUCUAAGGUUUCUUUAUUUCUUCAAUUUUCAAUCAAUUUUUAUUUCUGUGUUUUGGAUUGUUCAGUAAUGGAGCCAAGCUCAAUUGACCUGGUAGGACUUCAUAUCAUUUCAAAACCAGUUCAGCACAUUCCACAGGGAAUCCUUUCAAAUCGGAUUAAACCAAUCUUAGUGAAUGAUUUUGCAAGGAAUAUUCUCAAUGCCUUUUUAAGCAAGCACCCGAUUUCUGCCCUAAAAAUCUGUCUUUAACUUUUGAAUUUUUCCACAAAAGGAUGUGUCAACUGAAUUCACUAUAAGAGUGACGUUUGAUGCAUGGGAAUAGGAAUGGAAAAAGGAUAGGAAAGGAGGUGGGGAAUAGGAAUGGAAAAAGGAUAGGAAGGGAGGUGAAUAACAAUACAAUGUAAAUGACAAGAAUCAAAAUUCUAGUGAGUGUGAGAUUGGGUUUCUUUGACAAUGAAUUCCUAUUUCCAUUCUGGAAAAACAAUCCCAACACAUUAAUAAAUGGGAAUGGAAUUGAUUUCUCAUUCUCUAUUCCAAUGUUUCAAACAUGGCCUAAAAGAACGAGGUUCAUAUAAGUGUACGCUUAGAUAUGCAUGAUAUGAGUAGUCACAUCCCUUAUAUCUUAUUAUGUUAUGUAUUAACUACUCUAAUCUUGCUACAAUCCUCUGAUUGCUGAAUAUUACAUAUAUCAAGAUGUAUUAACUACUCUUUUCCAUGUACCAGUAACAGCACAUUACCUGAUUGUAAGCCCCCAAAUAGAAGUAUAUUAUCCAUGUGAAAAUAUCAUGAUUGCUCAAAUAUGGUUGAAUUGGCUUAAUGUUAAAAAAUUGUCUUCUGUUUAUAGUUUGAAAAGCUAUGAAUAUUGAGAGCUUGAUGGUUGCAUUUCAUGAAUUGAAGAGACUGUUGCUAUUGGUUGUACCAUGAUAGAGUGAUUUUAUCAUAAAGAAUUUAACUUGAGUUUUACUCCCUACCUGUGAUGUGCAUAACUCAGCCAUUCUUAUGCAAAUUCAUACUCCUUUGCAGUUAUUAAAAGAUUUUCCAAGAGAUCUGGUAUCUUUAAAGAGGGCUCAAGUGUUUUGCUUUUACAUGGGUCGACCUGAUCUAUCUUUCAAUCUUGUUCAACAGGUUCCAUUCUACACAAAAUAAAAUAAAUGUAUUUAUUUAUUUAUUUUAUUCAGUGGAAACAUCAUUAUUAAACCAUGCUGCAUUUUGCUAAUAAUUUCUUUCCGAAAAUUUAUGGUUCUUUUACUAAUACAGGAAUACAUGUGAUACAUAUCUUAUGUUUUAACUGAUUCUCCAUCUAUUUCAUGUUGAUUAGGUACUUUAUCAUUUAUGUAUUUAACAGGUUCUACAUGAAAACCAGAAUGAAAAUUACAUUUAUGGCAUGCUUGCCUUUAGUUUAUUAGAGUGUGGUCAAAUGGUAGAUGCUGAAAAAGCUGCAAAAAGGGGAUUUGAGAUCAACAAGCAAGAUUGCUGGUCACAACAUGCUGUGAGUAAAAACUAUUAUAUCUGCAUAAGAUAUACUUAUUUGUUUCUUUAUACUUCAACUUAUUCUUUUCACCAAUGUUUUAACUUACCUUUGUAUGCAUUCACCAUAUACUAGAGAAUAUAUGUUUUUGGGUUCAAGUUGAUGCACAGUUGUUGGUUACAUGACAUGUAUUGGAAAGUGUCCCAAAUUCCUAAUUAGUAUAGAUUCCUUUUUGUAAAGAAUAUUGCACAAACUAUUUCUUAAGUUGAUAUGUUAUUGUAAUAUUAGAUUUUUUUUAUAGAAUAAGAAAAGUUAUUAGGAAUAUCUCCAUAAAUAUUCUAAAUCAUGAGGGGGAAAAGUUAUGAGAUGGAGAUGGACUCGUAAAGACUAUAUGAGGUGGAUAGAAUAUGAGAAAUAAUAGUAGACACUUGGUGGAGCGAGAGGCUCGUGGUUCAAAGCGUAGGUACAAGGAGUGGGAAAAUAUGAGAUGCUUUAGAAACCUAAUAGUUGUACCUGGUUUUUGUCCUUGAUAAUAUUCUCUAUGGUUUAGUGGAAUGAUUCUCUUUCAUCCGUGGAUGUAGGCAUAUUAGCCAAACCACGUUGAAACCUUGUGUACCUUUAUGUAGAUUAUUUUACUUUUGUGUUCUUGAAGUAAUAUGUUUCCAUUAAAACUUCUGCUGGUACAACAACGUGCCCAUACAUAUUUUAAUGCUAUGAACAUGGAAAGUUUGUUAUUAUCAUCAUCUUUUGGAAAAGUUCAACUAUUAAUAUAAAUAUGACUCCAAGUUUCAUGUAUGGCCUAAAUAUAAGUUGUUAGUAACAUAAAUUUAUGUUGUUAUAUUAAUAACUGGUUGCAGCUGGAACCUUGUUCCUUUCUCAUUUGUAAGAACCCAGAUUAUUUUCACUCCUUAGUUGAUUCUUAUAAUGGCAGGACUUUUGUGCAGUUGUGCCAUGUUCUUCAAUAUGAGUGUCGUUUCAAAGAAGCAGUAGAGUUCAUGGAAGAAUGCUCAUCCUCAUGGAGUUUGUGUUCAUCUUUCAUGUAUGGAUUGUUAUGUCCUUUAAGCAAGAUUUUACCAUUAAGUUUAUUUUACAAUUAAGAUGGCUAAACAAAUUUAUACUUCAGGUUGACACACAACUGGUGGCAUGUUUCUCUUUGUUACUUAGAAGGUCAUUCCUCAAUCAGAAAAGUCCUGGAGGUUUAUGACAAUUAUAUCUGGAAGGAGUUGGAAAGACCUGACGCUGCAUCUGCAGAGGUAAAUUGUUCAAUAGUCUCGUAAAUAUAGACCAUUUUAUUGUAGUAAGUCCUAAAUUUCUUGUGAAUUCAGGUGUACUUGAAUGCUCUGGGAUUGUUAUUGCGGGUAUAUGUGCGAGGUCAUGCUGUUGUCUUUGAGGACCGUCUGAAGACCUUAGUGAGCCGUUUGACAGAUCAAGUAAGGAUACAUUGCCUUUGUUAUGAGAUGUCUAAUAUCUGAUGUCUGUUAAGAAAUUGAGGCAUGAAAAUUCUAUAAUUUAAAGGAUGUUUCAGACAGCUGGUUCUCAUACAUACUUGUUGAGUUUCUCCAGCCAGAACCAACGAUUCUACUUCUUUAUUGUUACUUUAUAGAAAAUAGGCAUUUUGAGAUUAUGUUUGAAUGUUGAAUAUUCUUACACAUUUACAGGGUAUUCAGGGUUUUUAUUGAACAGCCUGAUAUUUGGUCCCUGCACUGAUUUGAAACAAAAAUCUAAUUGGAAUCCUGAGAAGCAUUUUAUGUCAUAACCCCUUUCAUCUCAGGCCAUGUUGGACUAAAAGAAGAAAGGGCUUCCCUAUUUGAUCCAACUUUCAUGAUCAAUAUCAUGCAUGUAGGCUUUUGUAAUGCAAUAUGUAAUAUUCCAAAAGGCAUGCCAAUCAAUAUCACUCAAGAGAAAUUUUAAAAAAAAUGAAAGAGAAAAAAAAUUGCUAUUGGUGAGAAAAGGACGUUCAUUUUAGGCCAAAAAUUAAGAGUGUUGAUGCCCUGCACACCUUUCGUGCUUGCGUAUCAAUUUUUUUAUAUAUUCUGAGUACUUCUUCCCAAUUUGAAUCUGCUUUGGGGUGAUGUAAUUUCUAUGCUAUCUUAUUUAUUUAAACCCUCUACUUUUUCAUGAUUUAACCAAUCAUUCUUGAUUUUUUUAUGCACAUUACAAUGUUCAGUCCACCUGGUAUAUAGAAUGGCACCUUGAUUUGCUGACAAUAUGGGCUUUGGCUAGCACUGGAGAAUUGGUUAAAACAGAGGCUUUACUCCAGGGCUUGAAAUCCAGGUUAGGGAUCUUUCUCCCUCUUUCCUAUAAGUUGUAGCCUGACAUUUAGUUUACUGUAGAUGUUUUCAUUUUACAGGCUUUCUAGGAUGAGCAAGAAGAAGCAACAAACCAUGCAGAGAGGGAUUCUGGUUUGUUCCCAACUGAUUCAUGUCUUUAUUGAUUAGUUCAUGCACUUCCCUAUUGGUUGGUCCCUUGAUAAAUCAGCAUCACAAAACUCUACCUGACCCUCGCUAUGGAUGGCCAUAGGAGUUGAAUUUGUUUGGAUAUAUUAGAGCUGGUGCUGAACUUGCCUGAAUACAUUCGAGCUUGAGUUGCUGAUCCACUAAGAUAUUUACUCCAUCAAAACAACUUUGUUAAAACCAGAAUAGAUGAAAAUGCUUAUUCUUAAAUUGGGUGAGAAUUGUUGUUAAAUUAUCUGAUAACACUUCACAAUAUGUAUGAUAUAUUUUUUGUUCUUAGGAAAACAAGCAAAACAAAACAAUAAGCAAAAAACCAAAUUCAUGGUACCAUUGUAUAUAAUGUCUUAAAUAUUGUUAUUUUAAAACUUGCUUAGGCCUUGCUUGGAUUGGUUUUUGAGAAGCCAAAGAUCAUUUUACAAACUUAAGAAGAUCGUUUCUACUUGUUUGGAUAAUUUUGUUAAAAAGGCUUAUAGCUUAAACCCUAUUUUGGUUUAUGCAGGAAGUUGACUUAUAUGCAAUGAAACUUUUACAAUACUAAUAUUACUCUUUGAAAAUUAUGGCUUGGGCUUUAGCUGCAGCUGUAGUUUAAGCUAAAUCCAAAAACAGAAUGUUAUCUCAAACAGAAUGUUACUCAGAAUCUGAUCCAUUUCAAAGUUGUUUUUUCUUGCAAUUUGAGGCAUAUUUUCAUAUUUUAUACAUACCCAGCUUGCAGAAGCCCUAUACGAGUAUGGUAGGGGUAACCACAUACGAGCACUGGAAUUGCUUGGUCCAGAUUUUAAUGCCAAUCACUGUAAGGUAUUUUCAUCAAGCACUAUUGUUGGUGUCUAUAUUCUGACUACAUUAUUAUUUAUUCCAGGAAAGAAACAUGAAUUUACUUCUUUAUUCCAGAUGAUUGGGGCAUCAGAUGAACAGCUUGAUGUUUUUAAUGAACUUUGGUACAGCAUGUUGCUGAGCACGGGACAAGCUACGAAGGGUAUGAUUUCACCCUUUUGUUUUAGUAAAACAUUGUGAUGAUUUAUUUCUGACUCCGAUUAGUCACUUGCAGCAAUUGAAGUGAUUGAAAAGCAGGUUAAGAAUAGGGAAGGAGUCCCUUUCUUGUGGCGCCUGUUGGUAUGUCUCUGCCAUAUGGCCCUUUUUGCUUUGGUAUAAAUUUUGUGCAGGAGGGUUGAAUAUUAUCAUAUAUGGAUAUGAAUGGAUGUAUAUAUCUGCAUUGUUGGUACAGGAGAGAGGUUACUCCAUGACUGGCAAGCAGGAAGCGAGGGUUGCAGGCGAGAAAGCUAUGGCUUUGGAGACUUCAUAUUUCAAAUAGCUGGCAUGAAUCGACCGGGCUGACAUUUUUUGCUCUGCCAGCCCUAGUGCUUAAUGAGGGUGAACUGUUGCUCCCCUGAUCUCGGGCAUGUCAUCAUAUAAUUUAAAUCAAAUAGUUAGCACAUUUCUGGUGAUGUAUCAUAAUCAAUAAAUAUGUAAUUUGCCAUGAGCGCAUUUCCUCUGUAUAUUUAGGUGGUAUGUGUUUUUUUUAUAGAACUUAAAACUAAAUAAUGUUUAAUAAUGUUAAAUACUAAGUUGUUUGAGUUUUUAAUAUUUUAUAUUUAUUAAGUAUUAAAAAGUAAAGAAAAACUAUCAGAUUCUCUCAACAUUGAAAAAAAAAAAAGUCAAAUAAUUUAGCUUUUUUUAUUCAAUAAAAAAAUUAAAAAAUCAGUAUAAAAAAAAAGGCAAAUGAAUUAAAUUAUGAAAGCAAAUUACUUUCAUUAAAAAGUUAAAAAUAAAAAUAACAUCUUAUUUUAUGUUCCAGAAAUGAAUAAAUAUGUAAAUAAACAUUUAAAAUUUUGCUUCCUUGUGGCAGGUAUUGAAUAACUUGGUUAUCUAUGUUUGGUGUUUCAAAACUUUGUUGAUUUUUCAGGCUCCAUUAUAGGAGGAGAAUAAGGGUUCAAUAUCUGCUGAUGCAGAGUCCUUUGCUCCGUGGUGGACCAAUGGGAUUCAAAGGUGCUCCCUUUAAUCUUGUGAGUUUGCAUUUUCUUCUCUUUGGCCUAUUGCCGGAUAAUGGGAAAAGUAGGGGAGUUUUGACCAAAAAAAAAGGAUUUUAAAAAAAAAUGAUAAAGUAAACAUGAUUUCAAAAUAAUGUCUAAUCUUGCAUUACCGUCACAUAGACCUCUACGUCAUAAAAUCGUAGUUGAUAAUUAUGAUUUUGAAUUUUUAAAAAUUGUCAAAGUCAUAAUUACCAACCACGAUUUUAACUUUUAGGAUAGUUUGCGUGAAAUUUAACAUUCUCCCGCAGCAAAGAAAACCUCUUUUUUUUGUUAGUUUGUUUUCAUUAUGAUUAAAUAUCUUUGUUUUAGUUUAGUUCAAUAAUUUUAUCUUAAUAGAAACUAAGUUGUUUAAGUUUCAAAAAUAAUCAACUAGUCUAAUAUAAGUAUUAGAAUCAUCAAAGCACAUUUGGAUCAAAUCUCGAGGACAACAACAUGGCUUACUACUAAUUGUAGUAGCCUUUUCUCUAGUUUUUAAUGACCAAGGCUAUUAUGUAUUAACUUUAUAUACUUAUAGAGAGUAAAGGUUGAGUCAAUGGUCCAUAUGUUAGGCCAAAGGCACACUUGCCAUGGACACCAACCCCCACCUUAGUGGAUGUCUGCCUAUGCCAAAUGUUGAGGAAGUGUACCAUCACCUUCCAAUUGAGAAGAUAUUUUUUAUGUAAGAUAUUAUUGUUUAGUCUGCAUGAGAAGAGGAAUGAAAUCUUUAAGUUUGUAGAAGUAGUCUUACAAGGUUAGUCAAUUUGAAUUCCCAUAAAGUGGUGUUGACUGGAUCUAUCAUGCAAGAUUGACAUUGACUUACUCCUAUAGUAGGUGGUGUUAACCUCACAUUUCAUAUGGGUGGUAUCGACACACCCUUCUCAUUUUAUGAAAAUUGGGGGCAUCUUCUUCAAAUUUGUAUCAUUUCAUGGUCUCUUCACUUUAUCUCCACAAUACCUAGAAAAUGUCCCACUUAAGGUGUAACACCUUAACUCUAUUACGAUUGCCCAUGUAAAGAGUUGCGCUCAAUAGCUCCUGCAUGAACCUAAUGCACCUCAAUGCUAACUUAGUCCUCCCAUCAUCGAGUCUUAAGAUAUGUUGAAGGUCUUGUGUAGACCCCUCUUUGGACCGGGAGAGCUUGGUCUUUUAGAGUGAGCUGGGCAUUUCAUUUUCAGGAGUGGGGGACAGCUUCCAAGGGUGAACAAGCUAUUGAGACAUGUGACAAAGACAUUACGACCUUGCCAUGGUGGUGGUUAGGAUGGAGACACCUUUGAGCAAGGAGUAAUAGAACUGGUAGAGAACAUUGACGGAAGAAGUAGAAUGGGUGGAGGCUUGGGGAGUGAAGCAAAAAAAUAAAAUAAAAAAAAACAGAGGAGUACCAGUGAGGAACAAAGGAGAUUUUUAGAGUAAAAACAGAGAGCCAGAGAGAAGCGGGGUCGAGACUUUUUGGAGAGAGCUUGAGAAAGGGAGUUGGAAGCUGGGCUCGAUGGGAGGCCUAUCAGGGACUACUAUAGCAUCUCUUCUUCUCCAGCUUUAAUGGUGUGAGGCCACCGUACCUAUAUGUAUCUACGCUACACGUAACCGUAUACAACAUCUUUACAUGCCUCACCAACUCCUUCAUAGAAAAAUACCCAAAUUCCAAAUGAGAUGAUUUCAAAAUGAAAUGCAAUUGAAAUUCAUCGCCAAACCACCUUUAUUUCAGUGCUGAUUGCGACCCAGAUGAUAAAAAUUGGUAAUCGUUUCUCGGUAUUUGUUGUUUUCCCCUCCUUGGAUCGCUAUAUGAUGUGGGUUGUAUGAUUUUUUUUCUUGAAUCCGUGCGUUUUGUUUUGGUUGGUGUCGUUUUUCUUUGCUUUUUUUUUUCGAUGUUCCGUUUUAUUUGUUUGUUGUUGUUUGAUGUUUGAGGGUGUUGGGAAGGCAUCCAUUGUUGCAUUCAGGUCUGGUGUUGUCAUGGGUUUUCUACUUGCUGCAAAC